UUUGGUGGUCGGUUGGUGCUUUCUUUGACAUUCAUUAUUACCUAUUAUUAGUAUAAUAAUGUUUUCAAGACUCUCCCAAUACACACAGUGCAUUGUUAACUAACCCCAUCUUUAAGUUGGAUCAAUAGCAACUACUUUGACCCCUUGCCCCUAUAAGUACCUUCUGUCUGUAUUAUUGAUUAUAAGUCCUAACUACAAGAUCCUUUCUCUCUUUUUUUAAGUGUGGUGUAAACAAAAAAGAAAAAAAGAUGAGUUGCUUUCAAGUGUGGAUUGGGUUUCUCUUGGCUUUGUCACUCUUGAAUUCAUGUGCUCUUGUCUACUCCUACCCCACCCCAAAUUCUCCUUCACACCCUCCUCACCAUGGUGCACACAAGCCAGGGUGCUACCAGCAUACUCCUCCAACACAUAGGCAUCGUAAGAUUCCACCACCACCAUCAUUGCCGUUCUUGUCGCCGCUACCACCUGGAGCAUUUUAUUUCUUCUCUCCACCCCCUCCUAGUCCUACCCAUUAUCCAAAAACGCCAAGGCCGGUGGGCCUGGGCCCACCCCCACCAAGGUUCCGGGUACUUUGAUUUGGCAUAAAUAACAUAUACAUAUAUCACUGAGAGCUUCAUCGGGCCUAGGCGGAAAAAGCUUGUUGUUACAGUGCUUCGGGUUAAUUAUAUAUCUUGUACUCUAGUCUUUUUUUUUCUCUUCCGAUUUGUUAGAGUAAACUGUAACAGUAGCUGUUCUCGUAACGUCUGGUAUAUUGUUAAUCUGGAAGUGUCUGAACGUGUUCAUUUGAGGUGAACAGGUUUGCCAUUUUACAAGUUUUUAAAUUCUACACUGAAUCUAAAUGUUGGUCUUUCAGAGUUAUAUGCUUGUCAUCACAGUAUUGUUUUAGAAGUUCUUGAAACGUAUGCUGGAAUUUCAGUCAUUUAAGGAGUUAGAUAUAUAAGAUUCUAAAAAUAUUAAUAUGAUAACGUCUUAACUCUUUAAGUGACGACUAACUUGAUAGUUAAAAGUUUAAGAAAAACAACUCGAUGAUAAUAAUUUUAGGAUUUAAAUAUGUUUUUGUUAAUGUAAUUGAUAUUUUUUCAUUUUGAUUCUUGUAAAUUCGCCCUUUUAAUUUUAGUUCGGGUAAUUUUUUGUUUUACAACUUGGAUUUUUAUAGGGUAUUUUUCUCAUUUUUAGUUCUAAUAAGUUUAUAUUUUUUUAAUUUUGUUCUUAUAUACACAAAUUUAUGGAAGAUUAUAAAUGAAAAAAUUAAAAUUUUAAAAGGACUAAAACACAAACGUGGAGGACUCAAAAUGAACAAAAAAAAUUAUAGAGACCAAAAUUAAAAAUAAUAAAUUUACAUAUACUAGAAUUAAACAAAAUAAACUUACAUGAAUAAGAAUAAAAUAGAGUAUUAAUUUACCUGAACGAUAAAUAUAUUUAAUUGUAAUUUUAGAAAAUGUCAUGAGAGUUUAUUCCGAGUUCUUUUGAAUAAUAUUAUAUAUUUUUGCAGCAAUUUUUGUAAUAAAGACAGAAAUAGGAAAAGAAUAAAGAAAAAUGUGAAAUGAAAUAAUUAGUUAUAUGACGUAGAAAAAAAUGGUGUGGAAAAGUGAAAUAAAAAUAACAUUAUUCAAUUUAAUUGUUUUUAUUAAAGUAUUUCUAACAGUGCAAUCGUGGUAAAUCACUUUUGCAUAGGCCGUACAAUGCCAUAUAAGAACUUCUAUAAUAAGUUAUAUCUAAUAAUGUACUCCUUAAAACCUUAAAUAUAGAUUAUACGAUUGACUAAAAAUUCUUAGCAACAGUUAAGAACCAUUGAUUUUUCCAUCUAAAAAAAAACAUUGCUUUUAUGAGUAACAGUUCUUCUUAUAAGAAUUGUCACAUUAAUUGCUCCAAUAGUGAAACCACAUAUUAACUUAUUCUCAAGUUUAAGAAUCUUAUAAGCAACUCUUGUUAAAAAUGUUCUUUAAAGUUUUUUAGAUGAUGAAGUUCUCUAACUUUUUUACAUCAUUUAAAUUGCUUGAGAUUCAGACUUAAAAAAACUAUUGAAAUAUAAAUAAAAACAAACAUUUUAAAAUUUUAAUCAAAAUAUAUAGUUUAAAUGCAAAAAUAUAAUUAACACGUAGAUGCAAUAAAUAGACGAUAACAAAUAUAAGAUAUAGUUCGUGCUAUUUUUUUCACAAUAAGAAUAAUAGAAAUGACUAUUAACUAUUAUUUUGUUACUCCAAAACUGUAAAACAGUAAAACAUGCAAAAGAACAUAAAAAAUAAAAUAAAAUGAAACAUUUCUAAAACGUACACUUCGUCAAUUACAGUACAACAUGGAACACUAUUAAAUGUCUGUUUGUAAUAAAUAACGUGAUUUAUAGAUUUGAAAAAACUAAUGAUUUUAAUAAUUUGAUUUGUUGUUUUAUAAUUUUACUUUUCUCCUCUAAAAUACUAAAAAUUUAUCGAGUAACCAACUCUAAGAUUACUUAAUAGGAUAGUAUUAUAUAUAUGUCUUAUAGUUGCCUUUUCAAACUUAGCACUAUAGACUUUACAAUACAUUAUCUGUGAAAUAAACUUAUCGAAUUCGUGUACAUUUCUUAAGUUGAAAUAAAUUCAAAAAUAAAGAAAAACAGCUUCGAAACCGUGCAUUAUAAAGAGGGAAAAUUGCUUCGAAUAAUUGAUAAUGUAUCCAGGAGAGCCCAGUAGAUUUGUUACUUUUUGUAGUGUCACGUUGGCCCAAUAUGUAGUAAACUUCAUUUUGUUUGACUGUCAAAAUUCCAUGGACCAUAUAUUAUUGAGUUCAAUUUAAAAGGACUUUUUAGUAUCAUCUUCACACACAGACAUAUAUAUAUAUAUAUAUAUAUAUAUAUAUAUAUAUAUAUAUAUAUAUAUAUAUAUAUAUAUAUAUAUAUAUAUAUAUAUAUAUAUAUAUAUAUGUAUAAAUAAAAGAUGAUGGAGUGAUAUGCUAAAUUCCUAUUAAAUGACUGAAAAAAAAUUUAUGGUGACAAUGCAUAAUUGCAUAUAAAUUAAAUUUUAUAUUAUUUUCUGCUAAAUUGAAAUUCAAGAUGGGCUAAGCUCAAAAAGUAAGCAAGGUACUAAAUGUCAUCCCUAUAAGUUUUUUUGUCGUUCUUUGUUGGGCAUAUGAAUUAACAGAAAAAUAGAUAUCAAUUGGACCCAAUAAGACUACUUGUUGCUGUUCGUUCUUCAAUGAUGGGCAAACACCCUGGACCUUGGCCAUUCUACUUAGAUAUUGGCUAUUAUACCUUGGACCCUCUCUCCGAAAAGAAGGAAAAGCUUCUACCAGAAACUACUAAUUUUGUAAAUAAAAAAAAACAGUAUUUUUAUAUUUUUCAAUCAAAAUUAAUUUUUUAUAGCGCUAAAAAACUGAAAAAUUUAUUUUGCAGGACAUGGUUGAACUCACAACUAUUUCAACUAAAUAUUUUUCUUUUUAUAUUUUAAGACAUUAAAUGUAUUUAUUGAAAGUAUUAAGAGAAUUAGUGUAAAAAUAUAAUGAGGUAUUUUUAUUGGGCUGAGGGGUAGUAAAUUUAAGGUAAUUUUUAAUGCAAACGAAUAUCACUCAAUUUUUUGGGCAAAGGGUAUAGUCUGUUUGCCUUUCUGUUAUUUUGGCCAGCACUUGAGCAAUUAGAAAUUAGAAGUUUAGAACCAUCUCAAGUCAUUGACUAAAUGUGCUUGGGGUCCUCAGAAGAAAGACCAAUAAUCAUUCCACUUGAUUCAAGGUUGCUGUUAGCACAACUGAUAUGUAUAUAUAAUGAAAAAAUCGGGUGGGGGAAUCAAACGCUUGAAUAUAUUAUGACAUAAAUAAACAAUUAUACCAUCAUACACCCCUAACUGCCCUAAGACAAUUCAAGCAGUACUAAAUUUCUUAAAAUACUGGUUUGGAAAAUCAAAUCCUAAUCAGGUCACCAACUUGUACCCGGCCUCCAUUUUUUAAUUUUAUACCAGGAACUUUAACAUCUAAGACAUCAGGGCUAUGAAAUCUUAAGUAUUGCUCGUUUUCAAAGGAAAUGAUUCGUUCACCUAUUUCAUUUGAGAAUCCUAAAUUAUAUAUAUUUGGGUUUGGUGAUCACAUCAACGGACAACCAUGUCUCUUUUCUUUUUUCUUUUUUUUUAAAUGUUUUUUAUUUAAUUGUAAUUAUAUUUUCAAUGAUUUUUUUUAUUCAUAAUAAUAAGUUCUAAUAAAUGAAAUUUUAAAAAUAAUCUUAUUUUUAUUUCAGAUUAAAAAAAUUAAAUGAUGUUAACUAAUUUGAUCAAUGAGUGUAAAAUUUAUUAUUUUUAUUUAUAUAUAAAUUUAGAGGAAAUAUUUACUUGAGCGCAUCUUGUUCGUAAAUCGUGUUUUGAAUUUCAUCACCAUAUCUACGUAUAUAACAUGCAUUAGUCAUGCUCUCAUGUGCAUUGAAAAAGACAGUGGUGUAGCUUAAUUAGUGUCUAAUUUAAUAAAUAGAUCAAAAUGGUGAGAACUCAUGCACCUCAGUAUAUGAUAUCUUCCAGACACUAACUUAUAAAGACUCUAUUUGCAUUGUCUCCCCCUCGAGCCCUCGGGCCCUCGGGCCCUCGGGCCCUCCGCCACGUGCCCUAGCACCCAAAGGCCAAAAGACAACAUCGGGUAAAACAAUACUUCCCUUCGCUGCAACGCCUAUAAUUUUGAAAAGUUUCGAUGAUCAUAGGUCGUCGAGCAUUCAAUUUGAUUCACACAUGUCAUAAAUUCUUUCAAUUUCAUUAAUUUGGACCACAAAUAAGUCUUAUAUGUGAUGGAUAAUCAGCUUUGUUUUUUUCUCUUUUUUAACUACCUCACAUCUGAAGUAACUUCUAGCUAGGUUAUAUAUAAGCAAUAAGUAUAUCAGUAUAAUGAAAUAAACUUAUUUAUUAAAUAUUUGAAGUUGAUCUAACAAACUUAUACACUAGCUAGUAAAAUAAGCUGAAAAUUGACUUAUUUAACAUGUCAAACAAACUUACAAACACUAAUAACUUCGAGAUGUCAUUACUAUUUUAUCAAGUAAAUAUAUAAGAGAAAUAAAAGACAAAAGUUAAAAAAUUACAAAUAAUUUUAAUAUAGAUAAGAAGAUUAAUUACUUUUUAAGUGCAUCAUAAACUACAAAUUAAAAAAACAAAAACAAAGCAAGCUUAUUAGUCAAAUAUGAUAAGGAAUGCUAUAAACUGUUAAUGGAACAAAACGAAUUUAAUAUAUAUAAUUAAUUAUGACCUCUCUCUGUACAGUAAAUUAAAAGAGUAAACUUUCAGUAACAUCAAUUAACGUUUUCUUAAGACGAGAGCUAAAGAUAGAUCAUAUGUAGGGAAGGUUCUAAUUGCAACAGCUUUGAAUUUUGCAAACAUUUCGUGCUUCCAAAAGCCAUACGCAGUACGCAGGCAACACUUGCAUUGAAGAUAGCAACAACUGAUAACUACUAAUAAAAAUGUUUGAUGCCGAGCAUAAUUGAAUUCCUUCCUUGUUCUGUUAAAUGAUUGAAUAAACUCCAUUAAAAUAAGUUCUGAUGUUUAUGUGAACUGCGUUCUACGCCAGCUAACGUAUAAUUGAAUAAGUUAUAUUAUUUUUAUACGUACUUUUAACAAUAUAUUGUUAUAAUUAUUUAUUUAUUUAUUUAUCGCAUCACGUAUUUUAUUAUAUAUUUUUCUUAAAUAACUGUUCAAAAAUAUUGUAGCAGAUUUUUUCUUUGGUGGGUAUAGAAUAGAUUUUUUUCCUAAUCAAAUGUGUUUAUGAGAAACUAAUAACUUUCAUAUUUUUAACAAAACUAAUGUGAUUUCUCUCUUUACAACGGAAUUCCAAACAUGUAUUGAGUGUAAAAAUCUUACACUGCUGAUUCACUGAAUGCAUGAAAAAUAUAUAUUUUUAUACAGUCUAACAAUACAUGAGAGAUAAUCUCAUAAAAAUUGCAUUGCCUAUACAUAAACAGGCACGUGAAUAUUAUAUGUGGCUAAAAAUAUGCAGAGGAGUUAUGAUUAGGCAUUUUUUUGUUGUUGAUAAAGUUAUGAUUACACAUUCCCCACUAGGCACCAGCAUUUCAUAAUUUUAGACAUUCUCCAUGUGGCAGGGCCUUGGGCUUGACUAACCUGAGCCUUGUGCCAGUCCCACCCGUUCGUCUUUUUCUCAUAAUGAAAAUGAAAUUAAGCAUUUCUGUACCCAAAUUCCAAAUAUAUCUAUACACCAAAAACUAAGUUGGAUCGCUGUCUAGCAAUAUGCAUUUUAGAUGAAAUUGCCAUUCAGCUGAGUACAAGUAGCUAUCAUCAACUUGUUCAACUUUUUUUUUAUCUAGUGAGUAUGACUUUAUUUGAACGCAGUUGUUAGCUUUGCCUCGUGCGUCAUCCCAUGUGCUAAAUUCGCCUUUUAAAUUUCACUGCUUAAAAUAGAAUGGUAUUUCUUCGAUACGUUCUAUUAAUAUAAUAAAAUUAUACAUUUUUUUACAAAAAAUAAAUACUAACAACUAAUACAUUUUUUAAUGUACCCUUUUUAAUACAUUUUCUACUAUUAACUGAAAUUUAUUAGAAACACAAUUUUUUAUGAGUUUCAUUUCUUAUUUACUGAUUUUCACUAAAGAUUUUUAUAGUUUUAAAUUUUUAUUAUUAAAUUUUGAUUAAUAAUAAAAAGUGUAUUAGAAAGAAUAUACUUGAAAAUGUGUUGCUGAUCCUCCUUACAAAAAAAAAAUAAUGAGAUGUGAUAAAUGAUACAAUGAAAAAAAAAAGUUAAAGUUAAAAAAUAAAAUAUUAAAUUGGUUGUUGUAUAUAUUUUUGUUAUAUGAAUAUGAUAUCCUCCCUCUAUUAUAGCUGGAAGCGGCCCACAAAACAAAAGAAAGUUUGGGUCAAUCAAAUGAAAGCUUCUGAUAUAUAUAAAAUAAAAACAAACCUCCUUUAGAUGAAAGCACGCAAGUCCAAUAGGGAUAGUGUUGUUUGUUGAAAAUACACAAACUCCAAGAGUUGGUGCCUUGUUGGUAGGCAACCUAAUUGUUUAAUUAUAUAUGCAGGUCAAUGAAUUGAGCAAUAGUUUGAACUCGAAGUUGAGAUUCUUUUAACAUCAUGAUGAGGAUUUUAUGCUACCAAAGAAGCGAAACUUAUUUAUCUCUGCACUGAAGGAUUAGUUCAACCUUUUAAGAAAUUUGGUGCACACCAACAAAAUAUUGAAUAGCAAGAAAAAAACCGAGAGAGACAGACUGGUGUGUGGGACAAUAAUUGAUAAUGCUGAGUACUCUCAAGUCUCAAUUAUCAUCCAGAAGCCAAAAAGUAGUAUCUCUUUUAUCGCAUGAAAGGACUCCUAAACUCAUAUAUGCUAUGCCUUUGAGGUCCACCUUCCAUAUUAUAAUUGACAUCCCAAACGAAAUACUGAUUGUGAUACUAGGAUUUUGUGGCCUAAUUAACUUUUUCUCUUCUCUAAAGAGGAGACAAUAAUUUAUUGUUAAAAUAUGGUGGAGCGAGUUUGAACGGCUAAGAGUAUUUUGUAAGUUUUUUAUUCCUUAUCUACGAAUUGGAUUGCUUGCUGCCUAAACCUCUCUUUUUAGGGAUAGUUUUACUGUUUCUUGAUUUCGAAUUGUUCAUGACAAAUAGUUUAAUGAACUAAAGUUGUGGAAUGAGGGGUUUGACCAACUACCAUCAUCCCAUAUGUUGUAUGCAAGGAAAACUGCAGAAAUUUGAAAACAACGCCCGAUAAAAUAUUGUAGAUGCCCUGGUCAAACUAUCAAGUACUUUGUCUUAGAAAAGAUCGUAAAUAAAAAUUAUAUAUAUGAUUUCUCUUUGAAUUGAAGCGUAUAAUGAUUUUAAAAUAUUUUUUAUUCUUAAAAUUUUAAAAUGUGAUUUUUUCAAUUUAAUUUUUAUAAAAAUAUUCAUUUUUAAUCUCUAAAAAUUAAAAAUUGUUGUUUUUAGUCUCAAGUUUAGAAUUUUAAUUAUGUCAUUUUUGUUAUAUAUAAAAAUUAAAACUAAAUAUUCUUUUUUAGGAACUAAACUAAAAAAAAAACAUCAUAUUUUCAAAGACCAAAAAUAUACUUAAACAGUUAAACUUAUAUGAGUGUGUAAAGAUUCUGGGUAUUAGUAAAAUGGCAUUUUCAUGCUCUUAGAGAAGGAAAACCUAUUUACACAUAUAUAACUUUAAAAAGUUUCGCAGCAAACUGACAGCCUGACAAUUAGAAAAGGGAAGGGAAAAAGACAUAUACAUUUUUUUUUUCCAUUCACGAUAUUUCUUAAUGUAUAGUGCAAAACUUAGGUAAUAUAUGUAGUACUAUAGUUAGUUGUUAUGGUUUUAAAAUAAUUAAUAUUUUACCUCAAUAAAUGUUAUUCCCGUUUUGCUACUAAAAUCAUUAGUAAUUAUCAUAUUUUUUUGACAGAAAUUAUUAAAUUUGUUUAAUCUUUUAUAAAAGAUAAUCAUGAGUCCGAAAAAAUCUUUAAAUAUUUAAUAUAAGUGUAUAUCUAGAAUUUGAGCUUAACACAACCGAUUAAAUUAAACUAAUCUCACAUCAAUAAUUAUCAUUACUAUAAUGAAGUAUUAAUUUUGAUUGGAAAGUAAUAUUAAUAAUAUUUUAUUUAAGUUUUGUCCUUAUGUAUAUUGCAUUUGGACUGUCAUCAUAUGCUUGUUUGUUACAAUGUCAAGUACGAGGAAAGUCUAGCAUGUUAGAUUCAAAUAAAUAAAUUAAGCAAUAUGUAAGUGAUAAAAAAUUAUACUCUUCAAUCUUUAAGAUUGUGGGUCAAAUGUGAGGUACAAUUGGUUUUGGUAGUUCUCACUUGAUCCAUUCAUACAGAUCUUUUCGAUGUACAUUACUUUAUUACAAAUAAAAAAAUCAAAUUGAGCUUAAAGAAUAUAUUAUCAUUACAAAUUGGAAAUAUUUUAUUUGAAAAACUAGUAAACAGUUGACAUUGACACUGAUAAUAUAGUGUUUUAUAAGUUUUGAACUAGGAAAAAAAACUUUUGCUGUCACUCCUCACAUAGUUGGGAAAGAAGAAAAAUAUGUAUAUAUUUACAGAAAACAAAAGCAUUUCGGUUUACUUAUAUUAUUGCAGGUAUCUGUAUUUGUUUAAAUUCUAUAGAAUAGUUGAUUUUGUAAAAAUAAUAGUAAUAGGGAUUCAAUUACAAGUCGUUUUAAAUAUAAAAUAUUUUUUAUUUUAUUGAAUUGAGAUUGUCAAACUAAUCAUAAGUUGCAGGUAAAGUGCAGUUUCGGGUUUUGAAUGUUGCAUGACUCUCUUCAUUAAGAAAAUGAAUAUGAUGAGAUGAAUUGCUGUGAAAGACUGAAGCGGGGUGGCUUUUAUUGCCUUUGGCUUUGGAAAGUGAAGACAUUGUCACCAUCAUAUGAAAUCAUUCACAAACGGUUUCCUUCUGAUAUUACGUUGAUUGGGACUCUUAUUGUGAUUGGUUCCACUCUGAUUAAAAUAUCUCAUGCUUGUAUAUCAACAUAUAUUUUAGAAUUUUCAUUAUUUUCAUUCAUUAAUAAUGCAAUUCCAUAAGACUUAUAAUAGAAUAAUUUAAAUUCAUGUUUAAAUGAAACUAACACGAAAUUUUAGUAAAUAAAAAAUAAUUCGUAAUUAAUCUUUCUCUACUCAGUUUUUUUAUAUUAUAUUAUUCGUUUUGCACACCAAAUAUAGAUAUAAAACAGGGCUUUGAAUUUGAAUUGAGGAUUAAAUUUGUAAUUAUAAUGUUUGUAAGGUCUGCUUUGGAAUUGGAUUUUAAUAAUAAUUUUUAUUUGCCUAUAAAAAUAAGGUUAAAUUGAAAUUUUAGUCUCAAAUUUAUGACCUCUUAUAUUUAAAGAUAAGUAAAUAAAAAUUAAGAUACUUAUUUUUUUAUUUAAUUUUUAUAAAAACUAGAGUUAUUAAAAAAAUUAAUUGUAAAAUUUAUAAAUUAAAUAAAAUCAAUAUAUAAAUCUUUUUUAUUUUGAACAAUUUACACAUUUUUAUUUUUAUUUUACCAAAUUAUAAUUAAAUUUCAUAAAUUCUUAUAUAAAUUAUUUACUUAAAUCAAUAUUAGUUUGUGUAUUUUUAAAUUAGAAUAAAAUAAGAACAAUCUUUUAUUAAUUUAUAUUGAAAUAUAAUUUUAUAAUAAAAAUAAAUGCAUAUAAAAUUAAAUAUUAAAUAUUUUAUUUUAAUUUAUAAUUUAAAAAAAUUAAUAACUCUUAAAUAAUAAUACAUAUAAAAUUAACAAAAAACAACUGUCUUUGAAAUUUAUUAUGUUAACUUUAAUUUUUUUAAAAAAAUUAUGAGUUCAACUUGAAAUUUUUUUUAUUCUUCCCUUUAUUUCAUUCCUUAUCAUGUAAGCGGACAACCUACGUAAAUAUCAAUAUUUUGAUUAAAUUACAUUUUUUUGUUCAGAUCGGUGAAAUAGUAUAGAAAUCAGCUGUACUGUAACGUACGUCCUAGUCAACGGUGGUUGAGCAAAUGCAUUAGAUAUGCCUACUGUGAUUCAACGCUCUACUUUUAUUUUAUCACAUAUAUGUGAGUUAGGGUUUUCAAAGCAUAUGCAAUUAAAAAAUAACGUACUUUUAUUUAUACUAAUCAAAUCCUAUAAGGGUCAGAAGGAGGAAAUUAGGCUACAAAAUAAUAGAAGCUUGAAUUAUGGGUUACCAAAAUACCUAACAUGAAUAAGUGAGAUCAAACGCCGUUAAGAGAAAAAGAUUUUCCGACUAAUUUUUCUAUGGACUAUCUAUAAAUAAAUACUAUCUCUUCAGCCUUUCUGUCCUCUUUGAUGCAAAAAAAAUAUAUAUAUAUUACUGUAAAUGAUCAUUGAGACUUACGAUAUUAUGAAAAUUUAGAAUUGAGAAACAUUAUUUAUCCUUAAUCAUUCUUCUAUUUUUUUAUAAAAAAAAAAAAACAUAAUCCUAUCCAAUCAUUGACGAAGGCAAGGGAGCUUGAUGGACAAGGCCGCCGUUAUAGAAAAUGUUUAGUAUUUGAAAGCGUUUUACCUAAUUAAUGUGUUCCCCUUAAUCAAAUAAUAAAUACUAGAGUUUGCGUCCCAAAAUUUAAAUUAUGAUGUUGUUUCUAUAAUUAACUCAUCUUAUGUUAAAGCUAAAAAUGUUAUUGAUCACUUAAUUACUUUUAUUAUUUGCAGUUUCUACUUACAAACAAGAGAUUAAUCUACUAAUAUAUAUAAUUUGUUGGUUAUGUAAGUUUGUUAGUUGAGCAAAUCUCUUUCUCCUUGCCCCGGGCGCAUCAGGAUUCAGGAGCAAUGGAAGGGAGCACCUACCGCUAGUUACCACAAGCACCACUUGUAACUUAAAAAAUAAAAAAAUAAAAAAAUUUAAAGCCACUUUAAAUCCUAAAAGUCUGAAUCGACAUGAAAAGAUUUACUUAGAAGCGAAUUUUUAAAAUAUCUAACUUUUUUUUAAUAUUUUAUCUUGUAUAUAUGAAUUGUGUCUUUAACUUAUAACCCGAACUAAUAAAAUCUUUAAAAAUACCACAUGUACUGUUUUUUCCUUUGAAAAGUUUAUUUUUUUAUGAGAAUUGUAAGAGCCGUGAGAUUGAAACCGCUUUUGGUGAGUGGGUCAUAUAUUUUGUAAUGACGAGGGGUUAGAAAGAACACAUUUAUGUUAGGAAGAUGACCUUAUUUCAUGUUAGUGAGUAUUAAUCAUAUAAUCACUAUUCUCAUUAAGUAGCAAUUAUCUUUAAAAACUUCUCGUAUUUAACUCAAUUGUUCUAUACAUGGAUUACAUCAUAAUUUCAUAAUUAAAAAUAUAAACCAUUUUGAAUCAUGACGGUUGUACAUCACUUAAUUGACAUAGUCUCUUCCAUGUACAACAAAUUAGUCUUCUUCUUAAUAUGAUCAUUAACUAGGAGUACAUAAUUGGUUCAACAAAAUAUCUUUAUUCAAAACGAAACUUAUUAACAUUACUCUAAUACAAAUGUGCAUGCAAACAUAGAGGACAAUAAAUUACAAACAUAUCAUAAAUGAGCUUAUAGUGUUAGUAAAAUACAUAAGGUAAAUUACAUUUAAUGAUCAUCAAUAACAAUAAUGCUUAUAUUUUCAACAUGUUCUAUAAAUGUCUUGAGCGAUAAUCUCAUUGUCAAAGAAUCAGUUAUCAUAAGGUUUGUGCUAAUAUGUUCUAUUGACACUCUUUAUUUCUAAAUUUUUUCUUUCACGACAAAGUACUUCAAUUCCAUAUGCUUAGCACCCUUAAAGUAUUUGUUGUUCUUGGAGAAAAAUAUUAUUGUGGAGUUAUCACAAUACAUUUUCAGUAGCCUAGUAAUACUAUCGGCAAUUCCAAACCUGAAAUAAAGUUUUGCAGCCAAUUAGACUGAAUUGUAGUCUCAAAACAUGUUACAAAUUCAGCUUCCAUGGUAGAUGCAACAACAACUGAUUGCUUUGCACUCUUUCACGAUACUACUUCUCCGGCUAAGAGAAAUACAAAGUCAAGAGUGGAUUUUCUCGUAUCCACACAUCCAUCAAAGUCUGAGUAUGAAUACCUAAUCACCUCAAGGUAUCAUACCUCCUAUAUGUAAGUAUGUGAUCUUUUGUUUCAUGUAAGUAUCCCAGAACUUUCUUUGCAGCUUUCCAAUGUUCCAUUCCCGGGUUACUUUGAUAUCGUCCUAACAUUCAGUUGCAAAGCUUAUGUCUGGUCGAGUACAAAUUUGAACAUACAUAAUACUCCCAACAAUUGAUGCAUAUGAAAUUGCUUCCAUUUGUUUUCGUUCUAGAUCAUUUCUAGGACAUUGUACAAAACUAAAUUUGUCUCCUUUCUGAAUUGGAAAAGGUGACGCUAAGCACUUUUUCAUCCUGAAUCUCUCUAGUACUUUAUUGAUAUAUGCUUUCUGAGAUAAAUUUAACAAUCCUUAUAAUCGAUUUCAGAAUAUUUUUAUCCCUAUCAUAUAGUUUGCCUCACCUAUAUCUUUUUAUUUCAAAGUUGAUAUAGAGAAACUUCUUAGUCUCAUGAAGAAGACCAAGAUUAUUAGUUGCAAGCAAUAUAUCAUCAACAUACAUAAUUAGAAAAAUAAUUUUACUCCCAUUGACUUUCAAAUAUAUACACAAAUUAACAGUAUUUUCCUUAAAUAUAAAGGAAACAAUAAUAUCAUUAAACUUUAAAUACCAUUGACGGAAAGAUUGCUUAAGAUCCUAUAUUGAUUUCUUUAAUCUACACACCAUGUGUUUCUUUCAUUCAACUUAGAACUCCAUUGGAUGGUCCAUAUAAACAUUUUCCUUUAAAUUUCCAUUAAGAAAAAUAGUCUUCACAUCCAUUAGAUGUAACUCAAAGUCAUAAUGGACUACUAAUGCCAUGAUAAUACUGAAAGAAUCUUUUUGUGAAACUGAUAAAAACAUUUUUUAUAAUCAAUGUCAUCUUUCUCAGUAAAUUCCUUAAUAACAAAUAUAGUCUUGUAACGUUUAAGAUUGUCAUGAGAGUCACAUUUAAUUUUGAAGGCCUACUUACAACCAACUUUCUUACAACCAUUUAACCUUUUCUCAAAAUUAAUACAAUUUACUGCAUGUGAAAACAAAACUAGAUCAUCAUCAUCAUUAAUACUAAGUCUGUUUGUAUUUCAUGUAAGUAUAUGUUAUUCGAAAUAAAAAAUUAACAUAGUAUUUAAAAAAUUAGUAUAAUUUUUAAUUGCUGAGUUGCAGAUUUCAAAUUAGUGAUUCUUAUUAAUUGUGCUUAUAAAUAUCAUUCAUAUAAGAAUUGCUAGCUCAAUUGUGACCCUUGUUAUUUAUUUUUCUCCUUUGUUAUCUUCUUUCUUUUAGGUAGUAUGUUGUUUUCUGAUUAAAUCUAAUCUGUUGCAAUUUUUUCUUCGACGAAGGAAUCACACCUUUUAUAAUAAUUUACCGUAUAUAAAAAAUAUUAUGACUCAAAUGCUUGACGUGUAGUCUUUGAAAAAUAGUUAUCGACAUCGUUCAGAAAUUGUGAGUUUCAAUUAAAAAAACGCUUAGAAAUUUAGGCGUCAAAUUAGUUUAUACUUUAUAGCAAACAGGCAAGUUGUGGAUUCUAUACUUUGAUUGUUUUAUUGUUUAUGAGCUCUGCACACACUUUGAUGGGACAAAGAACAGGAAUAUAAAAGCACUGGGGACGGGGUUCAACAUUUGCAAAAUUGCAAUUAUCCAAGUCGCGGUCGUGAACAGGUAGGUACCUUACCAAUUCAUCCACAUAUUUUUUAUUUCCCUCAUGUGUCCUUCUCUGACAUAAUCGUAAAUACAAUCAAAUAUUAAAUAUGAAUGAAAAUUCAAAAGCUUCAUUCAUCAUAUUUUAAGAAACUAGUCUCUAAAAUUGUCAUUCCGAAAUCUAAAUGCAAUCUAUAAAUUCAUUAUAUGCAUAAAAGAAAUAUGAUUUAUUUAAUAUAAAAAUGUGAAAAGUUAUUAUUAUUAUUAUUAUAAUCAUAACAGGUUUUAAGAGAUUAAAUUAAAAUUAUAAUACAUGAAAAAUGCAAUUAAUUCAGAGAAAAUCAUCAAUAAAGGUUCAUAUAUUUAUUUAACGUAUCUCGAUAAAUUACUACUAUAAAAUAGUAUUUUUAAUUACAAACGUACUAGUAAGAUGUGAAAUCUGAAAUCCAGUGGUAGGCUGGUAGCACACUAACCACUAACCAGCACUUCCCAGCCCCCACCCCCACUUAGUAGUAUUUUAUUGGAAAAGCCAAAAAUGGUUAAAAAAGAAAGUUGUUCUCCACCCACUCCUCCACCCAAUCUAUUUGAUUUUUUGUUUCUUCUCUUCUCAUUCUUCUUCCGUUCACUGUCAGUGUCCUCUCUCUCUCUAUUCGCCCAUUUCAGAGAUCAGAAAGAGGAACCAACCUAUCGCAUCUCCCACGCCGCAACGCCAACGAAUUCAUAGCUCCUCUCUCUCUAUACAAAAAUCAGAGCCCUCGCUUCUCACUUCGAACAUUGCUCAUUCAUCCCUCUCAAAUCGGAAUCGCUGUUCGUCACUCCUUUCUCUGCAUCGUCGAAUGUCCAAAAUGCAUCUCAGCCGGAGAUUCUCGCGCGUUCCGAAGCCGAUCGAAAAUUCGCCGGCGAUUUGAUGGAAUCGGAGAGGUUUUCGUUUCAGUGUUCGCUUUUUCAUGGAGCUAACCGUUCGGUGCACCUCAUGCGCGCUGUCCAGAUUUCAUUGCAAACUUCGAUUCGCCGUGGUUGUUUUCGAGGUAACUCUGCUAGUUCGUGUUUUUUUUUUUUUUUUUACUUAUUGUGAAGUUUAUUUCAGUUUAAUUGUGCUCCGUGGGUUGGUUAUAUGCUGAACUCUGGUUGGGCUCUAGUUAGUCGCUGAAAGUAGUGAGAAAGUGAAUAUUUGAAGCUGAUAUGCGUUCCGUACUUUAAUUAUGUUUGUCCUGAAACGGAACUCUGGAGGUUAGGGUUUUGUCGUAAGAGUAAUGAUUUGAUCCGUAGGUGCUGGUUUAGUUCCGUUUGCUAGAUUUUAUUCUCUUAGAUAAACAAAACUCUGUAUAUUUUCUGACUUGAAAUUUAAGUGGAAGCUGUUCAACUAGCCUCUAUGGCGGCUAAUUUCUUAUAGAUGAUUCAUUGCUCUUUUCUGGGGGCCAUUUGCCUGUGGUUUUUACAUGAUUAAUUUUGAAAUUCUGCUAAUCUAAGAUUUGGUUCUUGUAAGUGGCGGCCACUUUAAAGGCUUCAUACCUUCUUAGAAAAAUAGUGUUUGAAUAUUUUCACAUAUGUGAAUAAAGGCACCGUGGUUGCUAAAAUUGGAUAUGUGCUAAAUUCUAAACUUCUGCUUCGUGCUGCAGAUUAUAUUGAUAUUGGCAUGGGUGGAGGCCCACAAUGCAAAGCCCCAGGAACACCAACUUCAAUGGGGAGGCUUGGAGAGGAAUACUGAGAAUAUUGCCUCUCACUCUUGCAUACACGACCAGAUUCUUGAUCAGAGGAAGCGACCUGGUCGCAAGGUGUAUUCAAUUACCCCACAGGUUUAUGAGCCUGUUCGCUUGAAACACCUUCAGCAUAAAGGUAGGACAUUACUUGAUGUGCCAACAUCAUCAAGGCCUCAAGAGGAUGCAAAGAAGCCUAUUAGGAUAUAUCUAAAUUAUGAUGCUGUUGGUCACUCCCCUGACAGGGAUUGUCGAGCAAUUGGCAAUAUUGUCAAAGUGAGUGUUUAAUAUAAAUGCAAAAAAAAAAAUAUUUAGAAUGUAUUUUAUCUUUACAUAACAUUGGUAUUAUGUUUCUCAAGUAUUUUAUUGAAAUUAAAUCUUUAAUUUUGUACGAACAGCUUGGGGAGCCUCCAAUGACUUCUCCUGGUUUUCCUUCUUGCGACCCCCAUGGUAAUCCUCCAAUCUUAGGUGAUUGUUGGUAUAACUGCACUUCUGAAGAUAUCUCCGGAGAUGACAAAAAACGUCGCCUUCGUAAGGUCAGAUAUUUUCUACUUUUAGUUUGUGUUGAUUCACUAGGCUGAUAAUCUUCUUAUCAGUGAGAAAAUUACUUGGUGAUGUGUCAGUUGUGCCAGCUUGUUAUGUCUCUUUGAGAAGUGUUGCUUUGUAGAACACUAGAAUAGUAAAUAUUAUAUUUAUCAUUUGUAUAAAGAUUGGUAGAGAUAUCUAUUCUUGAUGACUAAUUUCAGGCAUUAGGUCAGACAGCUGACUGGUUUAGGAGAGCAUUGGCUGUUGAGCCUGUCAAGGGGAACCUGCGGUUAAGUGGAUAUUCUGCUUGUGGACAAGAUGGAGGUGUGCAACUUCCUCGUGGAUAUAUUGAGGGUACAUUUUAUUUGUUGAGUUCAUUGUAUUUCUUGUAAAAACUGGAUGUCAAAUUUGAAUAUGAAUUUAAGAGAUUACCUUUUUGUUCAACUUCCCCAGAGGGUGUCUCUGAUGCCGACUUGGUUCUUUUGGUGACUACAAGACCUACAACUGGAAGUACACUUGCCUGGGCGGUGGCAUGUGAACGAGAUCAAUGGGGUCGUGCUAUAGCUGGUACAUUAUCCCUGAAACAUAUGUUGGUUUCAGUGGUAUUUUUUAUUAUCUUGCAUCUGGAGUGCUUCAGAACUGAAAGUACUUUUUGUUUUUCUCCAGGACAUGUUAAUGUUGCGCCUCGCCAUUUGACUGCUGAGGCAGAGACUUUGCUUUCAGCCACUCUGAUACAUGAGGUUUGUAACAUAUAAUUAUAUACAGGGAUGCAUGAGAGGCAAUAUGUAGCAUUGUUCAUCAUAUUUGAUCUUUUUUUCAGGUUAUGCAUGUUCUUGGUUUUGAUCCACAUGCCUUUGCUCAUUUUAGAGAUGAAAGGAAAAGACGGCGUAAUCAGGUAUGAACUGCCUUUUGUGCUGUAAGAUCAACUUUUUUUUUUAAUGAUAAGGCUCACAAAGUAUGAGUUUGAGCCAUGAUUAUUUUCCCCAAAUUCUUAUUAUGAUAAUAAUAAUAAUUAUUAGUGGUCACAUUCUUAUAAAUGAAGCAUGAUGUACAUGAAAGUUGAGUGGAGACAAAAAUUGUAAUGACUUUGGGGAAUGGUGAUUCUAUACAAUUUCUUUGGUUUGUCUAUAAAAUAAAUUGAGGAAUUGUAUUGAAUACGAAAACAUUUUAGGGGUAAAGUAAUGAUUAACUGAUACCAAAGUUUUGCAGCACUUAAUUGAGCAGCCAGCAUAUUUGUGUUUUUGAUCUAAUUUUUACACAUUUAUUGUUUUCUUUCCAAUAAGUAUGUUGAAUGUUUUCAGUUCCUUGAUUCCUUUCCAUGUCAGGCAUUUCAAUGACAUGUUUUAUAAUCUUAUCAGUACUUGUUGACUUUUGAAGGUUACUGAACAAGUUAUGGAUGAAAAGCUUGGACGAAUGGUAACACGUGUGGUGCUUCCUCGUGUUGUCAUGCAUUCUCGAUAUCAUUAUGCGGUAUUUCCUCGUGUUUUAAUUAAUGCUUAAGAUGUCCUUUGUAAAAAUAUUUAACAAAUGACUGAUGAGCAACUUGUUGGCAGGCUUUCUCAGGAAAUUUUUCUGGUUUAGAGCUGGAAGAUGGUGGAGGACGUGGCACAUCAGGUUUGUUAUUUGCUAUUUUUUUUCCUUGUUAAUGAAAUAUUAAAUUAAUUUAACCUUCUUUCUGAGUAAGAGUAUGAAAUAUAUGACUAACCCAAGUUUGUGAAUGACUUGCAGGGUCUCACUGGGAAAAAAGGCUUCUUAUGAAUGAGAUUAUGACUGGUUCUGUGGAUACAAAAUCUGUUGUUUCAAAAAUGACAUUAGCUCUAUUAGAAGAUAGUGGAUGGUACAAGGCCAAUUAUAGUAUGGCAGACCAUCUUGAUUGGGGUCGCAACCAAGGUACUGAGUUUGUUACCUCCCCUUGCAAUCUAUGGAAGGGAGCCUAUCGUUGCAACACAACACUGUUUUCUGGUUGUACAUAUAACAGGGAGGCAGAGGGAUACUGCCCCAUCCUAACUUAUAGUGGAGAUCUCCCUCAGUGGGCUCGGUAUUUUCCACAAGCUAAUAAGGGUAUGUAGAAUCAUGCUUUCAUUUAUAAAUUAGAAUAUGCAAGUUGAUGCUAAUACAUUUAUGAAGUGUUUGUGCUUUUGCUGUGUUUAUGUUGUCUUUGGCAAGAUUUUUUAUUAUUGGUGAUGGAUUGUCAAGAAAUUGUUAAACCUUAUAGGCUAUUGCAUUCUGGUUGAUAUGUAGUUACUGCUCUUGUUGUCCUGUUCCCAUUAUACAUCAUAGAUUUUCCUGUCACUAUUCACUGGUGACUGUUGUAAAUGAUUUUAAUCACUUAAUGAUUAUUUGGUUGUUCACUGGUUGUUGCAGGUGGACAAUCCUCAUUGGCUGAUUAUUGCACUUACUUUGUUGCUUACUCUGAUGGUUCGUGUACAGACACUAACAGUGCACGAGCACCUGACAGAAUGCUAGGUGAAGUCAGAGGAAGUAACUCUAGGUCAGAUUUGUGACUGCAUACUUAUGCCCCUAGUCUGCUUUACAUUUAUUAUAUGACAGCAGACAUGUGGAGUUGCUAACUAUUUUUCCCUUUUGAGUUCAGGUGUAUGGCUUCAUCACUAGUACGCACAGGCUUUGUACGAGGUUCUAUGACCCAGGGAAAUGGUUGUUAUCAGCACAGGUGUAUCAACAAUUCUUUAGAGGUAUGGUUUGUAGUAUCAAAUUAUCAAUAGAAGUGAAAUGCUCCUCCUUCUAAUGGUUUACUUUGUUGGAUUUGACCUGGAACUCUGAUACUGCCUGAACAAACUUUGGGAAUAAAAAAUUUCCAGUGAUUUCAUUUUCCUUGAUGGACAAAACUUACAUCUAGUUCCUUAUACCUUUGGCCAUCAAGUUUCUCAUUCUAAUGCUGACACAUGGAUGUUCUUUCCAAUAAUAAAUGACUUCCAUUGAAUAUUUGUUGUAGAGUUUUAAGUAAUAUAUCCAUGUGUUACAUUUAAUUGGAGAACUUGAUUGCUGGGCAAGAAUGUAAGGAGCUUUAUCUAAGUUUUAUCCUUAUUUGAUCUAUGCACAUACAUUGUGUUAGGGUGGACCCUGUCAGUUUGGCCUUAUGAGUUGAGAGUAGGCCUUAUAAUCUAUUAACAUAGGUAAUAAGUGAGGCUGUUAUGCAUAGAGACAGAAGACAAUGGGGGGAAUUAGUUGGUGAUAAUUAGUUUUGGUUGGGAGAGCCUAGGCUCUUGAAUUCUUGGGAGUUCAUUCAGUCAUUCUUGUAGAUUUUAUCCUUGCCAAUUCUGCUAUCAUUUUGGUACUGAUUGGAAAUUAGGGAUUUGAUCAAAUAAAAUUUCAUUUUAUUUUAGUCAAGUUUAUAUUGUAUUGCAUCAACUAUGUCCCCCGGAAUUAAUGCGAUAUAUGCUUCAGUCCCUAGAAUCAAUGUGAUUUACAUACAUUACAUUAAUUUCAGGGAGGGAAGUUGAUUUUGUUUUUUAAUAAAUAAGGCUUCCUAAAUUUUAUUGGCCUUCUCAACAUGGAUUGGUGGGAAAUAUUAUUAUUUUUAUCUUGUAAUAAGGUGAAAAUGUAUGGUUAUUGGUCCCACCUCUUUAUUGAUGUUAUUGAUAGAUAAUUUACAUUUUGAAGAAACAAUUAUACAUCAGAUUGGGCAAUCAUGUAAUGUUUGAGAGGCCAAUUUCUUUGUAACAUUGUUUUUAAAUGGUGGUGCCAUAGCAGAAUGGCGUGGCUGAUUUUUUGCCAACCACCAUAGGCAUUUUGUGAAGGGAGGCCUGCUAUGGCAGUGCCAUAAGCCACAAUGGCAUGUUUAUGUGGUGGAAUUUUGGCCUUCCGCCAUACUCUGCCAUCCACCAUUGAUAACACUGCUUCACAAUGGUUUGGGCAGGUUGCUACUACUUUUUUCUUAAGCCUGUAUAUGAAUUGUAUGCUCACCCUCCCUUCCUUUUCCUUUGUUACCAAAUUCACUAAAUGAAGCUCCAUUAUGUUAACACUUGUGUACAGGUUGCUGUGGAUGGUAUCUGGAAAGUGUGUCCUCAAGCUGGUGGACCCAUUCAGUUCCCUGGCUUUAAUGGUUAAUAUUAAUGUUAUUUUUGUCUAUGUUUAGUUGUUUUUGCAGUGGCAUUAAUUUGUCAUUUAUUACAAAGACAAUUUACUCUAUUUACAUUUUUCUAUAGGUGAAUUAAUCUGCCCUGCUUACCCCGAGCUCUGUAACACUGACCCAGUAGCUGUGUCUGGUCAAUGCCCUAAUUCAUGUAAUUCCAAUGGAGAUUGUGUUGAUGGAAAAUGCCGAUGCUUUCUUGGAUUUCAUGGGAAUGAUUGCAGUAGACGUGAGAUCUCAUUUUCUACUUUUAUUUAUGUGAUGUGAUGAUUUGUGUAAUCAUUGUGCUUAUAGCCCUAUACUGUUGUUGUUAACUUGUGCUUUCACUUAACUUCUUCCAGGUUCCUGCCCCAGCAAAUGCAAUGGCAAUGGAGUGUGCCUUUCCAAUGGGAUUUGUGAAUGUAAACCUGGCUACACUGGCAUUGACUGCUCCACUGGUAUGCACCAGUUUUUGAGACUAGAUAUUUGCUACAAGAUUAUUUCUUUGUACAAGAGAUCUACAUGAGUCGUGUCAAUUUCUUUUUCUUAGCCUGUGUGUUUUAUUUUAUUGGUUGACCAGUGUUAUUAACUUGUCCCUCAUACUUGUGCAGCUGUGUGUGAUGAGCAAUGCAGCCUUCAUGGUGGGGUUUGUGAUAAUGGAGUUUGUGAAUUCCGCUGUUCUGACUAUGCGGGAUACACAUGCCAGAAUAGCUCCAUGCUCCUGCCUAGCCUUUCGGUGUGCAAAAAUGUGCCUGGAAAUGAUAUUUCUGGACAGCAUUGUGCACCCAGUGAGCCUAGCAUACUACAGCAACUGGAAGAGGUUGUUGUCAUACCCAACUACCACCGACUAUUCCCUGGUGGUGCUAGAAAAUUAUUUAAUAUAUUUGGCAGCUCCUACUGUGACGAGACUGCUAAACGGCUUGCCUGCUGGGUAUGCUGUCUUUUCAAACUAUAUUUGUUCUUUAGCUUUUCCUGUUUUGUAAUUGUAGCAUGGUUGUUUUUAGUUAUUCUUAAAAUUUUGUUUUGCAAUCUGAUUUCUGUUGGUUUUCAUUCCUUCACUUUCUUUCCUAGUUGGUUCAUACAUUAUUUAAGUUUGCCACAUGUGACACUCAUUACGAUAAAACCAUAGUUUAAGCCGAACUUAAAUGGUUCCAUAGGUGUUUAAUGAUGUGGUUGUUUUAUUAGCCGAGAUAAUCCUGACUUUCUUAGUUUUAAUAUGCCAAUUAAAACCCGAGUGAUGAAUCUUUUUACAUUAGGUGGGAACUGAGGAAAGGAAUGCGAGACACUCUAGUUUUUAUCGAAUUGUAUUGCUUUCUAACAAUGUAGAUAUUUGAGCAUAGUUGGUAGUGUUGCAUAUUUGUCUGAAUUGGCACUUAAUUUCCAGAUCUCAAUCCAGAAGUGUGACAAGGAUGGAGACAACAGGCUUCGAGUGUGCCAUUCUGCAUGCCAAUCUUAUAAUCUAGCAUGUGGAGCUUCUCUUGACUGCUCUGAUCAGACGCUUUUCAGCAGUGACGGGGAUGGGGAGGGUCAAUGCACCGGCUCGGGUGAGAUGAAAUUGUCAUGGUUUAAUCGUCUGCGAAGCAGUUUUUCUUUGAGAAAUAGUUCCUUGAAAGGAAUAUCUGUAAAAUAUAGGCAGCUAUAACUUUUUUUUUUCUUUUUCUUUUUUAUCUUUUGGGGAUUUUUGGUUGUAAUUUUUUAAUCCUUAGAUUUAGGGGGUUGUUACUCAUCCAAAAUUGUUUAGGAAAAAAUGGAUGAGGUUGCAGAAUUGGCUUUCAAAGAGGAGCCUUUUGUAGAGAAAAUUGGGAAUCUAGAGAUAGAUAAAGUAGAGGAGGGUAAAGAAGAAAAAGGAGGAAAAAAAAGAAGGUAAUUGAAAUGUUUGUCAUAGGUUGGGCCGAAGGCCUUAAAAGGAAAAAUGGAAAAAAAAUCUGCUUGGUUCAUAUCUGUAUAUAUAAUUAUAUAUCAUUUGAUCUCUUACUUUCCUUUAUUUUGCCAUUCAUUUUAUUAUAUUCUGAUUUUCCAUUUUUGCGCUUUGCUUUGUUCGCACCCUCUAUUUUUAGAGCUAUAAAACUCUGGUGGAUUACGAGAAAGGUAUUAAUCACAACAAAAAUCGAAAAAUUCAUAUACGCUGAUUAUGCUCCUGAAUGGAGAAAAAUCUUCUCCAAGGAGAAUUGUAACUGCGGGAUGCAAACACUAAUUUACAUUUUAUGAAUGUUCUCGUAUCAUGCAAAACCGAAGUUAUCCACGUGAAAACAUUGGUUGUAUACUUUUCUUCUUGGGUUCAUGGGAAUUAAGGUAAAUAUUGGGGGAGGGUAGAGAACAAGAUGACAGAGUGGUGAAAGGCGAUGCCCAGGUCUGACUAGUGUAUUUGUAAACUGAGACGAGGAGAGUUAUCUGCUGUGUAUUCUAAAUCCGAUACUCUACUGGUACAUUCUGAACAUUCACGGAUUGAUUUUUCUUGCUUGAAAAUUAAUUGUUUGGUUCAAGAACAUACGGGUUGAAGUUGAACCAACCCUGCGAAUCUGUUGUUUUGGUUUGGUUUGAAAAUUAAUUGAGACUGUCAUGAGUAUGCGUGAUUUAUCUUGCUCCGUUUCUUACGCAACUAAUCUAAGCAUCUAACAUUCAUUAUUAUUAUUUUUUAAUUUGAUAUUGUAUAAUUUAUCCUGUCUUUACUAUUAGAGUUUAAUGUCUAUGAUAAUCUAGUAUUUGAAGAAAGUGAUUCUUAUCUUAUUUUGUUCUUUCAAUUAAUGCAUUAUCUAUUCCUUUUUUUAAAAAAAAAUCAUUAUCUAUAUUUUCUUUUUUCUCUUAACAAGUAGGAAUUUUUCUCAUUCUCUUUUUUAUGUUCACGUGACUUUUUAAUUUAAUUUAAACUUGCAAAAAUUAUAAUAAAAAAUAAUCAUACACAAGAUUCAAUGAUUUACCAAAAAAAAAAAAUAUUUGAUGCAUGAAAUUUUAUAAUACUAGAUAAAAGAAACUAAAAAUGAAUAGAAAUAAGAACAAAAAUCUAUGAGAGAUCUAUAAAUUUAAACUUCAAUAUAUGGAUCUCUCAUAUUUCAUCAAAUAUAUGAGAUCUCUAGCACACACACACAAAAAAAAAAAAUUGAAAUUGAAUUUAAAAUAAAAUAAAAUUAAUCAACUAAAACCAUGUUCGAAUUGUCAAACUAAUCUGAUUAACCUAUGAUUUCAUGAUGCCCACUCGUAGUUGUGUAAGACCGAAAAAAGUUUUCCAGUUUCUCACCUUCUCAGUUCUCACAGACUGACACCAGAAAUGCAACUAACUACGCUUCCUUUUGACAAAUUUCCUUGUCUCAACAAGCCACUAUAUACAAGAUAUAUAAGAUAAGUCCCCCCAUGAUUUCAUAAAUGAGCGAAGCCAUAAAUUGCCAAAUAAAGUUUAAAUCCACCACUCACUAAUCACUAUGAGCGGGGGCAAAUCAACACCUAAAAACUAACAAUGAUAAUUCCUUAAUUUCGCCAAAACGCCUAAACUACGUUGUCGUUGACGGUGAUUUUUAAUAUUAGAAAGUGUAACAGUGCAUUUUUUCAGUAUUUUCCAAUGUACUAAUAUUUAACCAAAAAGUUAUACAUUAAUUCUUUAAGUAAUGUCCUGAAAACAUUGAUCAGCUUAAAUUGCAUACUACUAGUAUUAGGUUGGAUCAACGGAAGAAAUAAUAACAAUAAAAAUAAUGAUGAGAAUGAUAAUGUGAUGACUAGGUUAGACUUAGUUAGGACAAAAAGUGAUAACGUAAUCGGAGGCAGAGCACGUGCAAGUGCUGGUAGCAUCAUCGUAAGCGUAACUAUACGCCGAGGGACAUGCACUCUUGAAUAUCUCCGAGUAUUGCGUCGGCUUGCAAGUCUGCGGCGUCGAGUACUCACCGGUGCAGCAAAACUCCGCCGCGUUGAACGCCGCGCACGCGCUCUUGCACGCCACAAUCGACCCUCCCUCCGCCGUAACCUGCAACUCGGUGGGGCACUUACCGUUCAAGUCCGUAACGCACCCCGCGUACUGGCAGUUACCGGUUCCUCCGGUUGCCCUCACCCCCAUCGCCACGUUGUAACCGUCCACCAAACUCACGUCGUAGAAGUCCUGGGCGGACCCGGUUCCGAUCGUGAACUCCGCCAACGUCACCGGCGGCACGCCUCCCCCGGUGCACUUCAUCCCGCCGGCGCAGCUCCGGUAAGGCAUUUUCCGAUUCCGGCGUCGUCGAAGUUGCAGCCGGUUCGGCCCCAGAACCGCCCCGACCAGCCCGCCGGAGCUGCGAGUCGGACGGACGUUCCCGUCGGUAGGGGAAACCCGCCGUCGCCGAGAACGGCGGCGCCAUUGCCGGCGAGGGUUCCGGGCCAGACCGUGUAGCUGCAACGGUUUUCGAUGGUGAACAUUGUGGCUGAAGCUAGGUUACCUGCAAAUAAAAUAAAAUAAAAAGGCUCAAUAUUGAAGUAACUAAGAAUAAUAUUAUUGAAUGUGAAAUGAGGUUUUUCUACACCAAACAUUACCUAAUGAAAACAGGAGGAGGAGGAAUAGAGAAGUUUCUGCUAUAACUCUGUGCAUGAUUUGAUAUUUUUUACUCUGGGAUUUGGAAUAAGAUGAAGUUGAAAGGGUGACAAGAAGGUGAAGUCAUGGGCGGGGUGUGAGUUUGCCAAUUGAAUAGAAUUUAUAAGAAUGAUGAUGUUUUUUUUUUUUUUUUUUAUGUAGCCUAACAGAUACGAUGGAUUGAAUCUUAAAUAUCUAUAUUCAUAUUUAAAAAAAAUAAUUUAGAUUUAACAUCUAAUCAAUUUAAUUGGAUAUAGAUUUGAUUAUAUAUAUAAGCUGCAUCCAUUUAAAUGUUAUAAGAAUUUUUAAAAAAAAUUAUGAAUAUAAAUCUAAAAAUUCAUAAUGAAUAUUCAUAAAUACUAACUCUUACCCCUAACUACAUAUAUUGAACCAAGACUCGUUUCAAUUUCACUCAGAUCAAAAACAGAAAUAGCAAAUUCAAAGAAACACAUUUUAUGCAAUUUCUAUCACUUAUCCCUACAACAAAGCACUCAAAAUACACAACCAGCAAAAAAAAAAUUGAAGUUCCACAAACCUAAGUCUGACAACAAAAAAUUCAGAGUAAAAAAAUUCUAUAAAAAAAAAUAUUUAAACAUAAAGCAGCAAUAUUCCUUCUAAAUUGUUCAUCUAUACAAGUCUGUUAGCAGAAAUUGUUCUGAUUAUAACCAAAUCGGAGCAAAAGUGUUGGAAAAAGCAUGGAACUCAAAACCCAAAAUCCCACAACAUGUGUUAUCUAUAAAUAAACAUCUUUCACUAAAAUCAAAAAUGAAGAAAAUAAAUAAGAGAUACCAAUAAUUAGUGGCAACAAUUGGGGAGUUAUUAGUGGAAAAUCAAAUCGGUUUCUGCAGAAAUGCUUUCUAAGCAAAUGAAUGAUCAAUGAUCCCAAAGAUGAAUACUACCGUAUAAGAAACACAUGAUUAUUGAAGAAUCAGAUAAAGAGAGUUGCUGAAGUAAUUUUGAAGAAACAAGGAUAAGGUUAGAUAUUGUUCUUGGUUGGUUUGAAUUCAAAUGUCCACUUAAGACCCAUGUAUCAAAAAAUGAAUUUUGGAUCUUUAAACUAAAAUAAGAUGUGGAUGAGUUUUAAAAGUCUAAUCCAUUAAAGUGACUUAAAACGGAUUGAAUUAGACCAAGAAUUAUAUCAGAUUAGGACAUUUGACUUUUUUGUCCAAGCCUACCGGUCUAUUCAAAGACUUUUCUCACAUAAUUUAAUCUUUGUUGGUUUCUCAACCAAUUCAUUAUUAGUAACGCUAAACUAUUCUUAUAAUCCCCUCUAGAGAUUAAUAAUCGCCUAAAAGUCAUUAUAACCUGACUGACCGUUACACAAUUGAGGAGAAAGUCAUGUCCAUAAGAAUCUCGAAGAGAAAAGACAAAUUAUGAUGGUCUCACUUGAAUACUCUUAGACUAAGUAUAUUAAACCCUAAAUUCAAUCUAGUUACACAAAUUUUUACUACAUUAUUUAGAAGAUUAUAUAUUGAAUUUAAUUUUCUUGCACUUUUAUGUAAAUAUUUUUAUACGGUUUCCUUAUUAAAACUUAUAUUAAUAUAUAUUUCAAAUUUAUAUAGAUUUUCAGUUCAAAAAUAAAUUAUAUAGAUUAGAUUAUAUACUUAAUUAAUGAAUGAUAUGAAAUAUAGGAUAUAGAAUUAAAUCCGUACGGUAUAGGAUUGUUGUACUCCUUAUCUUUCUUAAAUUACAUUUUAUUAUCAAUCACUUAUUUUUAUUCUUCUUAACUUUAUUAGUUUUCUUUGUAUUUCUUAAAUCACGUCCCAUUAUCAACCAAUUAUUUGUUUUUUAAUCCUUAUUUACAACUUACAAUUCGGUAAUUGGGCCCCUAUCAUUGCGGGAGCAGUUAAAGAUUGUGGAUCUUCUUGUGAUGGCACGUGCAAAUGCUGCACCACUACCACUACAAGGCUUUGAAUGGCCCCAAAUAUGUGAACCAUAUAGAAUAAAACAUUAAAUUCAGACAUAGCUUUGAACACAAACAUUAAAUUCAGACAUAGCUUUGAACACAAACAUUAAAUUCAGAUCUAUUGCUAGAAUUUCAUUGUCCUUGUAUUUCGUAAUACAUAAGUUUGAUUUGGUAAAGGGAAAUUUUUUCUUUUCACUGCCCUUAUUUUUUUAAGAUUAUUUUCACACCUACUUUACGGUUAAAAAAUUAAAUAAAAAACUCAGGCAGAGGAUAGUAUCAUAUUUUGUGAUGGAAAUGGGGAGUCUUGGUUUGCUACCCGAAAAUUAAUAAAUAAUUAUAUGAUAGAUAUAUUUUAUAUGAUGAUCUUUUAUUGUUUAAAAAUAAUAAUGUAUGAUCUUAACAGAAAGUGAACGAAAGAGAAUAAAAAUCAAUUCUUUUAAAUAGCUGUAUUAUAUUACAUCAUUAAGAGAAAGUGAACGAAACAAUCCUUGAUAUGUCAAGAUUAUAUUGAGUAUCAUGAAUAAAAAAAUGAUUGUGAUGAAAAAUUUUACUAAAAAUAAUAUCGAAAAAAAUUAAUCAUUCACAAAAUCAAUAAAUAUUUGACACAUAUGCUAAGUAUAAUAUUUACAAAUAUGAUUAAUUAAAAUAAUAAUAAACUAAUAUUGAAAUUAUUUUAAUAUUUUUAAAGUAUUUAUACCGUAAAUAUAUUCACAGAAGUAAUACUUUUUGCAUGUGACCUAUGGUUUUGCAACCUUUAAAAAUUUUGUUAGUAAUAUUCUAGAUUUAACAUUUCUUAUUUUGGUGUAAUAACUCAUAUUUAUAAUAUUACAUUAAUGUUUAUGUUACUAAUUUAAUUUAAUAUGAGAUUUAAUUAAAAAUUUAAAUAUGUUUUUAGGACAAAAUGAUAACAUGUAUUUAGUUUAGAGACUAAAAUGUCAUUAAAUAAUUAAGUUUAGAAAUUAAAAUAAUAAAAAAUAAAUUACUAAGUUCAUAAACUAAAUUAAAUAAUGAAUUUGUUUACUGACAAUCAUAUAAAUGACACGUGAGAUUUAUUAAAUUUUGGUGAAAUAAUCAUAUAUGGCUAUAAUCAUGCAAUAAAUAGAAGAAAUGAAGAAUUGCUCUGGUACGGCGCUAGAACUCAGGCCCUCCAGUUGACACUUGGUUAGAAACAUGAAAUCCUUAUUUAGUUGAUUAGUUUGCAUGGCAUUUAGUAAUAUAGAACUAAUAAGAGGAUCUAUCCACUCUUGAACGUGGAGAAUUUUAUGUGCGACCCUUGGAACCCAAAUUGAGUUAAAUUUAAUUGGUUGGCUUCCAUCGAAUUUAGAAAUAAAAAGGUAAUUUCAAAUGGAAUGUAGAGGUGACUGUUGCAGUUUAAUCUAACUGGACUGAAUUCAAAUUCUUUAAAUACAUUGGUAUUAGAUUUGAUCUUGAAGUAUUUUUCUUUUCACAUUAAUUUUGACAUAAAAAAUAAAUAAUGUCACCGAAUUAUCAAAAGUCAAAACCGACAUUAAACUUUCGUUCGCAGAGGAGUUAAUAGCCAUAGUCACUAUAUAAACACCCGAAUUCAGCAAAAAAUAAAAUAAUAUAUAUACCGAAGAUUCUCUCUAACGAAUACACGGAUGACAACUAGCUCAAAAUCACUGCUUUUCGACUAACAUGUUUUGCCAUGUGCUGAUGUGCAUAACGCGUUUUCAUUUCUAACCGUUCCACACUGCCAAAGUGUUGGCAUGACAACGACAGUACAAAGGUACUGUUGACUGUUAAGUUCUUUGUUUUUGCUUCAUCUUUCUUAUGAAGAGAGCGACUUGAGCAUUACUCACAUAAGUCUUCUAAAACAAUGUGACUUCAAGGUUUCAGUUAUAAGUACUCACAUAAGUCUUCCAAAUAUUUUCCUUUUAGGGAUUUAAACAAACCCAGCAAUGGCAAACAUAGAGAGCCAAAGUGUGUUGGAGUAUACAAUGGAAUCGUUUGUUUUCAACGGGAGAAGGAGCUAGAUAUGAAAGGAGAGCGAAGAAAAAGAGUAGAACAGCCACAACUACGGAAAACACCGGAAUGAUUCGACAGAAUUGUUGCUAAUAGUGGUGAUGCCUCCGCUGAUGUGAAUUGUGGAGUUUAGGCUGGAGAUUUGAUUUAUAUAUACUAGGGGAAGAUAGGUGACUCUAAAUUUUUAAAUAAUAAAACAAUAGAAGUUAAAAAACAAUGGCAGAAUAAAAAAAUUUAAUAAUAUAAAUGUAAUGAAAAUUUAAUUUAAGUUAGAAUAAAAUUUUAAAAUUUAAGAAGUGAUUUAAGGAUAAAAUUAUCUAAUCAAAUAUGAAUACUAAAUAAAAUAAUUCUCAUUAUUUUAAUUAUAGAUUAAUAGUUAUAGACUAGAGGGAGAGAGACAUUGGUGUCUCUUUACGUAUUUUAAACAUUUAUUUUUAUAUAGAAAGAAAAAAGGAUUUAGAAGUAUAAAAAAAAAAAACUUAUAACAAAUGAGAAUAAUGAAUAAUUAUUAAGAGAGAGUGGUAGGAGUUUAAAAACUGAUAAAAGAUAAAAUUGUCUAAAAUUUAUAGACAUAAAAAAGAUAUUUCCUUAUUAAUAAGAUAGAUUAAGAUAACAUGAUUUUCAUAGGAAAAAAAUAACAAAAAUGACGAGGGACGUGAACAAGAAAUAAAAGUGCGAGUGUGUGACCAUUUUGGAUGAGUCACUGAAAGCAUCUCGUUCUAGAGGGCUGAUGAUAUUCGUAAUGACGUGUCUCGUUCUAUUUCAUAAAUGAUUAUAAGUAUGCAUUGGCAAUAUUUUGAUUUGUAUAUGUUAUCUUUACUUGAAUUUAAUGUGAUGUAUGCGUAUGUACAUACGUGAAAUUAAUUUAGUUGAAAUUAAAGGUUGGAACUUACGAUGUUGACCAUUUCGUGAACUGAUGGCGGCCUUUUAUAAAAAUGUUUGGGUUUAGCAGCCUCUUAAUUGAGUUGUUUAUUAACCUAUGACAAUCUGUUUCCAGAACCAUAGAUUCGAGAAAAAGUCAAAUCUAAAUAUUUCAAAUAAAAAUAACGUUUAAAUAUAAAAGGUUUAUUUAUUUUAAUUCGUUUAAAUAUAUAGUUAGGACGCAGUAUUUUCAGUUUUGUAUAACUGAUAGAUAACCGACAUUUCCAUCCACACCACAUUUCGCAAGUCCUUUUGUCCAAUUAUAAAGGACAUAGAUAUUUUUAUAUUCUUAUUAUUUGUAAUUUAAUAUUUAUAUAAUGAUUGAUUGGUAUGUAAUUGAUUUUUGUAGGUUUUGUGUAGAAAGUAUUCACCCCGUGAAUCACUUGUUGCUAAUUAUAUAUUUAAAUUGAAAAAUGUUAAUAGUACCAAUUUGUGUUGCACAAAGACUACGCGCAUAUAAAUAUACUUAGCUGCUUUUGAUUUUAAUCAUAAUUCGCAUUUUUAUUUUUGAUUUAAUAUUUUUCAAAUAAUACAUGAACUCGUGAGUUCAUAAUAACUUAGUAGUAGUGCAAUAUGGUUUUGUACCGAUCGCAUAAAUUUAAAUUUAAUGAUUUUUAUAUACCACGCUGCGACUAAAGACAGUUCUCAACUGAGAGCAGAGGUUGGCUACCUAGUUACCUUUCUUUUCCUAUUAGUUAGGAAUUAGGAUCAAAGUAAGUUAGUAACCCUUUACUAAAAUAAAAUAGAUAUAAUAUUAAUUUCACCUAAAAAAACAGUACUGUUAACCGUUAUAAAUUUACAUUAGCUGAGAACUAUUUUAAUUUAUUCACUGAGUAUAUAAGGCAAGACCGUCAAACAUCUUGUUUUUUAUAUUUUUCUAAUUUGACACCUAUCAAAUAAAACAUUAACGCGUGGAUGUCGUAUUGUGCAUAAGAACUAUAUACCAUAUAACAUCACCGUAUAAAAAUUGAUCGAUUUGUUAAUAAUAUACAUCAAGCUUAUGAAAAAGAUCCGAGUUUGAUUAUUCUACAGCAUAUACUUUUGAAGAAAGAUAAUAACUUUUAAAUAUGACUAAGUCUAGAGGACAGAAGAUUAAUUUUCUAGUCAAUCUACAAGAUUAAAAUUGAAAUAAUACCUCAAAAUCUUAAUUACACUCGGAAAAAAAAAAUCGAACAUGAGAAGAUCCAUCAUCCCCACAUGCUUCACCUGUAUUUCUGUCUAAUGAGAAGAAAGGGACAAUCUCUUUCUCUUACCUCCUUGAAUUGCAGUACCAUGAAAGUUCUUAAAAAAGUUUAAGGAACUACAACGAAAUUCAUGUUGGAGUUUAUUUUUUUAACUGCACAAUUUCAAUUUUGAAGUUGUCAAUGAAAGCUUUACAAGUUCUGUAUCCAUCCAUCCAUAGACAGUCAUUACAUUUGACGUACACAAAGAUUAAGGAACCUAAUAAAACUAAAGGAGGACAUAUAUAAUAUAAUAGGCAUAAAAAAAAAGGGUUAAACAGAUGAAGCUUACAGUCCUCAAAUACCAAAAACCUCAAUAACUCUGGCGCUAGAUUAAGUUGCUAUUAUGUCUUGCUUGCAUGCAUGGAAACCUCGCGUUUGGAAGAAGAGCAAGCAACAAUACUUUGGCUAUGACAAUGCGUUUUCACAUAGGACUUCAAGAACUGAACGAGAAAAGCAGCGUUUAACACGGAGUUAAAAACCCAAGCCCCGAUUCCAUUACACCCUCCUCUCAAGUAAUGCAACGAGAGCACUCCAACGUGGCACAUUAAGUUAAAACCCAACAGCACUAUCUGAAAAUUCGCGGUGAACGACAACGCUAACGGCGUUUUGGUAGGCAACCCGAUUUCCGUCCAGAACCGAAACGCGUAAACGACGGAAUAAACCGCCGUGUAAAAAAGAAUCGCCAGCACCUGAAGCGACUGCGAAAACUCGAGCCACAGAAACGACAUGAUUAAAAGGACGGAGUUGUUGAACAGCCUGAAAAACGACAACCUUCGGUGACGCAAAACGACGAAGAAGGUGCGAAGCAGGUGGAGGAAGCGUGAGAGGUAGAAAACGUAGGACCAGAAGAAGACACGACCAGAAGGGCGAGUGCCGAGUGGGAAACAGAGCAGCCACUCAAACGAGGUGGUUCGGGAGCGCCGCCACAGCCACCGCGUGUCGCGGGCUUCGGCUUCGGCGGAGAAGAACAUGCCGGUGAAUAUGGCGGCGGAGAUCAACGACAUGGCGAGGCUGUGGAGGGCGGGGAUGGGACCCAACGGCACGGCGCGGCGGCGACGGAAAAAUUUGAGGAGUAGGUGAAGGGUUACGGCGGCCGCGACGUAAAAGCUGGUGGCGGAGAUUAGGAACCACCACGUGCCGCCGUAUGAUUGGGUGGGACUCCACCGGAAAGAGACCAUGGCUGGGUGCUCUAUUAGCCAAUAUUUCAUGCUCUCCAUUACGUAAGAAUAAGAUAUCAUAUGGACUAGGCGUUUUUGUUUGAGUUAAUGUAAUUGUAAAUUUCUUGCUGCCACAAGAGAAUUUUUAUGAGGUAAUAAUAUGAAUAUAAGGGAGUGGAAUUUGGAACACCAAAGUUGAAUCACCACUAGGAUUUGUUUAGUGGCUUUGUACACGGAGACUUUUUGGUUUCAAUGAAGUUUGUUACUAUCAUUUAUUAUUUGGUCUUGAGGCUUGACCUUGACUAAUGUUAUUGCGUUUCUGCGAGUUUUCUUUGUUUUCUUCAUCUAGAAGGAUUAUUAUAUGAUAGGUGGGAAACGAGAGCCAUAGAGAGUUGUUCUAAUUUAAAUUUCAAAACGUAUUUUUGCAUCACGACCUCUUUUGUUCUUGUAUAAUUCGAUCUUUAGACAUCGUUGUCCAAUGAAUGAGGGAAUGGGGUGGAAUUUAAUGCGAACAUGGAUCAUAAUUCAAACCCGAGUCAAACCUUAACCUGCUGUUCCAAAACCAAUGACGAGAAAAAAUUUACAUUUCCUUUUGUUCAAACGUCUCGACAAGGAAUAAGAGAGUGCUCUAAAAAUAAGAAUUGUAUGGUUGGAUUGGUGAUUAAAGAAAUGAGAGAAAUAAAGUUUGUGGGUUCAAAAACUAUUUAAGUUUAAGGACCCCGUAUAACUAAUUUAAUUUUUUCAAAUCUAUUACUACUUAACUCACAGUCAAAUAUCAUUUUCUUUUAAAAUGAAAAAUUCACCAAAGUGAAGACAACAUUCCAAUAAAAUCUUUUCUAUUAGUCAUGAAGUCACUGGAAAAAACCACGUCAUUUCCUCCUUAUAGUUUUUCUUUUCUUUUUAGAUAACUAUUUUAUUUUCUUUUUUGUACUCUUCAAUGUGUACAUAAUUGCUUUCUUUCUUUUUUUCUAAAUAAAAUAUUUUACUAUAGUUUAUUUUUCUUUUUAAAAGUUUUUUCCUUUUAUAAUUCAUUAUUAUUUAUUGUGAAUUUACCUUGAUCAAAUUCUGAAUUACAAAGAUACUUUUUUCUAUAUGAACAGGAGGUCUAAGUGAAAAAAGAAAAAAGCCAUUGAAGAAUUCCGCGGAAUUCUUGAUUUGCAGCCCAAAAAGUAAAACGGAAGAAGCUUCGUCCUUUCUGUCCCUGCCCGCAGAUAAACCAAAUUGCAAGUCACACAUACACGAUAUGAUACCCCGUCCUCCCUCUCUUCACUUUUGACUAUUGACUUCCUCAACCGAUCCACUCUUCUCUCUAUCUGCAGGUUCGUAAUUUUCUAUUCCCCUCUUCUUUCCUUUAUCGUUUUUUAUUUCAUCUUCUUUCCUGUAAAUGCCCCCAAUCUGUAAACCCUGAUUUUUCUUCUUUGUAGAAAUUCGGAAUUUUUAUGUGACAAAGACGUUAUGAUUAUCUAGUUUUUUUCUUUUUCUUUUUUUCCCCCUGUACAACGAUAUCUGGCUAUUUUGUCACCUUCACCUAUUCUUGUUUGUUUGAUUCUCUCUGCUUAACGUAACUUUAUCAUUUUUCUUUAGAGAUUUUGCUGCAUUUGACAGUUGUUUCUUUCAAUUCCGUCCAACAUUUGGGCUUCGUCGUUUACUUGAGGCCGUGUCAUCGAAAACGCGUUUUGUAUGUUAUGAAACGACGCAAUAGCCUUUUUGGUUCACGAAUACCACAUGUAAAAUAUUGAUUAUUUUUAUCCCUAAGUGUGCUGUACGAGGAUUGUCAUGUGUAAGCCUGUUAUAUAUGUUAUGAAUCACUCAUUAAUUUGUAUAGGCAUUUGAUGGUUUGGAUUUUGUAGAUGGCAAGUGGGUUUGGGGAAUCAACAGGGAGAUCACCCCCAAGCCCUUCCUACUUCAACAACAAUAAUAACAAUGAUGCUGCCAAUUUUGAAUGCAACAUUUGCUUUGAAUUAGCGCAAGACCCGAUAAUUACUUUGUGUGGUCAUCUUUUCUGCUGGCCCUGUCUUUACAAAUGGCUUCACUUUCACUCACAAUCACGAGAAUGCCCGGUGUGCAAGGCCCUCGUGGAGGAGGAGAAGCUGGUUCCCUUGUAUGGGAGAGGAAAGUCGUCGACUGAUCCAAGAUCAAAAUCUAUUCCGGGCGAUAACAUCCCGCAUCGUCCGGCUGGUCAGAGGCCUGAAACUGCUCCUCCACCUGAAACAAAUCAUUUUCAUCAACAUGGGUUUGGAUUUAUGGGUGGCUUGGGGGGAUUUGCGCCACCGCCGAUGGCAACAACAAGAUUUGGGAAUUUUGCAUUGUCCGCAGCUUUUGGUGGUUUUAUACCAUCCUUAUUCAACUUUCAGUUGCAUGGGUUUCAUGAUGCUGCCAUGUAUGGGGGAGGGGCUGGUUUUCCUCAUGGAUUUGCCAAUACAUUUCAUGGUGUCCAUGCUCAUGGAUUCCCUCUGCGCACCCAUCAAGGGCAACAAGAUUAUUAUUUGAAGAAGCUUCUUCUAUUUGUUGUUUUGUGUGUUGUUCUUGCUUUUAUAUGGCAAUAGGUUGGAUACAAUCUCUAGCAGUAUCUGACUUCUGCUCUGAUAGGUCUUCUGAUGUGCUCUUUGUUUUGUAACUAAGGAGUAAGGAUGUUGUUCAUAUGAUAAUACUGUCUUAUUAAUCUUGUAGUUCUUUUCUUUGUGAUAGCUUUGUGGUUCCCAUGGUAUCCAUGUGCAAAAGAUAUAAAGCAUGAAAGCAAUGCACCCAUUGUUAGGAAUAAGGAUCUGGGUACCGGUCCGUAGAUAUUAAUUUCUUAGUUAUUAUACUGAGUUUGAAACUACAAGAUAGCUGAAAUAGUGAAGUUAUGCCCUUGGUUUCCUUUUGUGUUCUCAUAUUUGCAAUUACAUGUUGGCAUGCUAUUGCUAAUGUUAUAUCUAAUAUUAUUUUGGUGCAUACUACUUGUCUACUUUCAUUAUUCAGCUUGUUUUUGUGCUCUAUUUUUCUAUUUUAUGAUAAGGGAUUGUUUUUUACAUUACUAUGACAAGUAUAUAGAAAUCUAAGACUAUGCUUGGAUUGGUCAAAGGAGGUGGAAAGGAAUGGGAUUAAAUACCCUUGUUUGGAUAUAUAAAAAGAGGAUGGAAUAAGAAGGAAUGGGAUGGAACAUAUACCAUUGUUUUAUGACUUUUUGUCUCAUUUUUCUUCCCUUCCAAAUUGGGAGGAAUGAGUUGGAACAAAAAAUCCGACCUUUUAUAAAAUUAUUAAAUUAUUUUUCCAUCCUUACUCUAUUUCCUCUCGUUCAAUGCCGGUCUCAACUCUCAACAUCUCUCAUGACACCAAAUGCAGCAGCCGCACAACUUGGAGUUUUUGUUCACAAUGCAAUUCACCGCACCACCCAAGGUAUUUCUCCCCUUCCUCUUGUUCUAUGUAAUUCACUGUUGCUUGCUGUCACUUAUUGAACUAUUUUUUAUCUUUUAGUGGGAACAAAGGAAAGAGUGAGGCUUUAAUAUAACCCGGGAUUUGACAACGCUUCAAUGAGAAAUGCUAGCUAUCCACUUUCUAACACACUCUUUGAACACAUUUUCUAUUAUUGGUUGAAAUUUAUGGGAAAUCACAAAAAUUUUAGAUGUUCAAUGUAAUUUGAAUGGCACUGUUAGAUGUUUUAAGCAACCCUGCUGUUCUUUCUAACAAUGAAGUGAUUUUUUUUUUUUUUAAAUCAUAGAUCCUUUUUCAGCAUAGUCAUAUAUUGCAGUUCAUAUUUUUUAAAACAAGGAUAUAAUAUAGGAAUAAAAUAAUAAUUUAUUAAUUUUAUUCUGCUAUUUUCCUUACCUAGACAAUGGAAUGAGAAUUUUGUUCCAUUCCAUCUUAGUAAUAUAUGCAAACAAUGGAAAGAAAAUUUUAUUCCUUUAUGUUCUAUUCGACUCCAUUCGAUUUUAAUUCAUCCCAUUCUAUCUUUUCUCCAUCCAUCAAUCCAAUCAGUCUAAGUACCCGGAUACUAGUGGCCUAUCUAUAUAUAAUGUUUGGUUUGGAUGUAAUAAGAUUUUUAGCCUGUUUAUAGUUCACUAGUACAACAAUCUUUGGAUCUGUUGACAAAUAAAAAGUUUUCUUUUUUCCAGAUUGGUAUGACUGUUAAGUGGGCAUGUUAGCUGUAUAAGUUCUUUUUUGUUUAAAUAUGUUUUUAGCUCUUCAAAUUUAUAUCACUAUUGUUUUUUAGUCCUUCCUGCAGUGAAAAACUUUCACAAAUUGUGCAUCCAAACUGUCAAAAAGCAGUCAGGAGAGACAUAAAAGAAUUUUGAAAUUGAGAAACUAACAAAAAUAAAUUUAAAUUUAGGAAAUAAAAACAACAAUGACCAAAAUUUGAUUAACCAAAAAAUAUUUAAGUCUUUUUAUUUUACCUUCUCAUUAUGUUUCUACUAUCUGCUUGCUUUUCUGCUCAAGUGCGAAUCUGCUUAUCAUCAUUUUGAUAUAUUGUAACCUGUCAUUUCAAUAGCAUGUCUGAAAGUCAGUAUAUCUAUUGCAGUACCGCCUACUUUUCUGUGAUGAUUUUGGUUAAGCCUAACAUUUAUUUAUCUGGAGAUGAUUUUCUAGCUGUGUACAGUUGUCACUACUGAUGUUAUAAAUAUCUUUCAUUUCAAUAGCAUGUUCCAAAGUCAGUAUAUCUAUGGACCUGGGAAACAAGUUUAUUAACCUGCAGGAGCUGAAAUGUUUGAAUGGAUCCUAUUUUUGUGGUAUAUGUUUGUUUUAAAGUUGAGUAGAAUUAAUUUUAAAUUGUUGAAUUGGAAUUUGUCUAAAUUAAUCUAUAAUAAAUUUCACAAUGAAAGAUAGCUAUCUAGCAUUCAAUUUUGCUCGUUGAAAUUUUGCCUAAACCCAACUGGGAGAGUUAGAUUAGAGAUUCCGGCAUGGCGUAGCUAAUUUAGUUAGCGUUAUUCAUGGAGGGUCAUUUUAGAUGCAUUUUUUCUGAUAGUUUUAGUUAAAUGAUAUAGUUAUACAUACACCCACACAAUUAAGCAGGUCAUUUUUUGCAUCAUCUUGUGUCAUAAUUAUAUAUUUUUUUCAUUUGUUUUAUUUCGGCAUGGCGUAGAUAAUUUAGUUAGCGUUGUUCAUUUAUUGUAUUUGCUUCGCUCAUUUCUAAGAGUCCAGGGUGUUUUCGAUUAAAAAAAUAAAAUAAAAUGAGUCCAGGGUGUUUAGAAGAGGAUGGCGUUCUGAAAAAUAAAAUAAAAGUUAAAUUAUUUACUUUGACUCUAGGUGUUUCCAUUUUAAGUUUUACUCCCUACAUGUAUAAAGUUAAACUUUGGUUCUAAUUGCUAAUAUUAUAGAAAACUUUUUAACGGUGUAGAACCAUUACAAAUUUUGUUGACAGAAGAAUGUAUAAUGCGGAAGAACUUGUUAAACUUUUAUUCAUGAGCUUUAUAUAUAUAACUAAAAUGCAAGAUGAAAUUUAAAUAAUAAUAUUAUCCCAACCUUAAAACCAAACUGACAAUAUCCUAAUUCUAAUUAAUAAGAAUAAUGUCUUUAUCUUGAUCUAAAAAUAUCUUUAAAAUUUAAAAUAUAACAAAAAAGCUAAACUAUCAAAUUUCACAUUAUAGAUAUUUAGACAUAUAUUUUUAAUACUUUCCCCUACAACCUUAGUGUUUUAAAUGCUACAUGGGUAACGUUUUGGGUCCUCCUAUUGGGCGUCAUCAAACUUGUUUGUCAACUUUGUUCACAUAGGGAGAACGAACAGUGCCUAACUUCAACCUCUUCUAACAGAAAUUUCAAACCUUCCCCACUUGCCACAUUGGAAUACCUUAGUUAUCCAUACGUACAGCGAAGCAAAUAUUUGUGCUAAUUGGCUAGCUAACGUUAACCUUGGUUACAGCCCACACUAGUUCCUUCAUUUGGAUCAUUUUCGACAAAGCCUCCCUUAAUAUUCGAGAAUAUGCAUUAUGUCGUAGUACUUCUUGUAGCUUGUUCUUUUAUUUCCUAUUUAAGAAAAACUCGUGAAAAACAAUAUUAGAGCACUUGAAUGGUAAUUUUACAAUGAAAACUACUUGUCAAUAUUCAUCCUAACAAUUAAUAAAAAAAUUGCACGUCAGAAGUAUAAUAUCCAAUCUACACUAUUUUCCAAGAAACAUAACAUAUAGUGUAUAUUAGUGAAAGAUUCUAUCACAAUCUUUUUAUUUUCUCAGUCUACCGAAGUAUGCAAAAUGCUUCUUAUCUAUUGACGCUCAUAUUCACUUCUACAGAGCACGCUUUAAUUGAAUUUCAACUAACAACUAAUAAUGAGGUCCAAACAUGUUUUACUUUGUAUGGCUUUGUGGUGAGGGAAGAUGUCUUUUUUACUUUUUUAUACAAAUAGAAAUACAAGUUACACGUGAGAAAAUUGUUAGUGGGAACAGAUAGAGACGGACCCACAUUAAGUAACAAGACUAAACAUACCCUCACUCAGUUAUUUUAAUGUUACUAUUAUAUGUUAGAUUGUUAUUUAGAUUUUAUUUAUUGUUACUUAGAUUUUAUUGUUUGUUAUACUGUCAUUUUGUCAAAUUUUGUUAUCUGAAGUAAGAAAUAUUAUCUUAUUCUUAUCAUCUAAAACUUCUAAGUUCUCAAUGGCUUAUGUUGUUCGUGUAAAAACUUUAGUAUUCUCAACCAAUAAAAAAUAACCAUAAACAUAAUUUUUAAGAUAAUUAUUAUAAAUAUCAACAAAUUUAUGUUAUACGAUGAUUUGUGAUUAGGUCAUUUAAACUAUUUUACAUUGAGAAUAUAUAACCUAUUCUCAAUUUCUUAAUCCAAAUGCAAUCCUUUGUUCUGACUAAAAUUUAACUCUAUGUUUUGGUCCGAGAAUUGUGAGUUAUUCAUGAAUGUUCUAGGCUUCUAGAGAAACUGUUGAAUGUAAAAUACGAAUUAUAUUGUGAGAUGAUUUGUUAUGAUGGACAUCUCACGAUCUGAAUUCUCAGCGGACAGACCCAUUUUUUUCUGUUUGUGUAGCACAUGUUUAUGUUUUGUUUGUCUGGGUAAUGCUAAAAGAGGCCAUCAUCUUUUGGUCGUGGACCUCUUGUACGAUGUACUGCACAUUCACUUGCGUUAAGGGUGAGAAUGCCACAUGGUACAUGACAAGAGUGUCUACCAAAAAACUAAAAGGCGUGACAGUAUUAAAGUCUUCAUCUAAGGCCAGGAGGGCGUAUUUACAAAAACAAAAUAUUCUUAUAAAUAUUGAUAAAAAACAAUAAUUAAUAUUGUAAUAAAUUAAAAGUUUGAUCUACAUAUAUUUAUAAUUUGGAACAAAUCACGUUGAUUAAAAAAGCUUGUAUAUAUUAAAAAUAUUAAAUUAUACCUAAUCGUUUAGUACUCUAAAAAUUAGUUAGUGAAAUUGAUUUUAAAAGAAAUUAGUUUUGGUUAAAAUUGGUUUUGAAAUAAGUGAUUUAUGUUUUCCUUUUUCCUUUCUCUCAAUUCAUUCCACCAUCAUGAAGGGUUGUGUGAGAAAAAACGAUUUGGCUAUUAAGGACGCGACUUCGAGCUACUGGGAAGAGGAUAGAAUUCUUGAAAUUUCUCUGAAAAAGGUGGAUAGGAAGUUAGCUAGUUUGGGAUUUUUUAAGCAACCCUUACUCCAAAUUGCGUACUUUUAUUUUAUUUUUAUUUUUCUGGUUACAAAAUUGCGUACUUUGUUUGCCUUCGCUGUUUCAUUUUCGUUCUUUGUUAAAAUUAAUUUGGUCUCUUUCUCGUUAGAAUGAUUACUGUAUCAUGCUUUUUAAGUAGCUUGCUCAUAAGACAUAAAGAUUAAGAUAAAUAAAAUCUUCAUGAUAAGUUAUAUCAUUCAUUCUAAUCUAAACAAAAUCUUUUCAAUAUUUUUAUUUGAAAUUCAAUUUUAUUAACGGGUAUUUUAGAGACACUUAUUAAAUAAUACACGGUUAAAUGUUUUUAAUUAUUUAGCUACUAUUUUCUUGUUUUCUGGUAUAUUAAAUUUUGCUUUUAAUUCUUUAACACGUAUUAUAAAAAGUACUCAUUAACAUUAUGUUUAAUAUUUUUUUCUCUUAAUUAAAUCACUACUUAUAUAUUUUCCUUGCAUAACUGGUUGGGAAGUGCAACACGCCUGAACCAUUCCAUGUGUAAAAUGUGAUAACAUUUGAUGAAUAUUAUGUUAGAAUAAGAUGAGCCGAACAUCAAAGUGAAAAUGAUUAUUGACCAAUAAGUUGGGCAUUUGUACGUCUGACAUUUUGUAGAAUCAGCGUGACCGGUUUUCCAAGUGGACCCGUUAGUUAACAAAAGCCUUAAAUUCAAUCAUUCUUUAGUGAAUUUAUCUUAAUUACUUAAUUAAUACUUAAUCCUUUAUGACUUAUGAAAAUGAAUGCCUAUGGAAGAUUUGGUUGCUGGGAUAUAGUUUUCGGGUGAGGGUGUGAUAGUUCAACAUAUACUGUAUCGUAAGAUGAAAACAAAAAGGAAAUUAAAAUAUGGCCUAAUUAACCACGAACCAUGAACAACAUUCAGUUUCAGUGUGUGUUGCUUACAAAGAAAGCCGUAAGAACAACGUUUACUGAGACGAAGAAACACAGCGAAUACGAAGAAACACCACCACGGACACUCUUUACUAGUCGUCUGUCUCAGUCACUUUAGAAUAAAGUAGUCUCUACCAUUUUGAACGGGCAGAGGGCUUCUCUUAAUUCCUUAAGGACGUUCCUAAUCUGUAAUCUAUUUAUUUAGUGAUAAAUUUUAGUGUUUCCUAUCUCAAAUUAAUAUCUACAUUUACUUACAUAUGUUACGGAAAAAUUUAUUAUAAGGAACUAUGGAAGAACAAGCAAUGAAUCGCUAGCAUAAUGUGUAAAAUGUAAAAAGAAUAUAACUAAACAUCAGGAAUAAUUAUAUAUACCUUAAUGGUGGACGAGCAUGUGAAAUUAUAUCAUUUCAAUUAUUUCGGGUCAGGCCACAAAGACUGUUGUCGUGAACCCCUAAUUUCAACGUGGAUGACCUAUUUUAUGACAGAUUAGCAAAAAACUAAUUUGAAUACAUAUAUCUAAAUUAACUUAGACAAUAUUUGGUAUUUUCUCUUUUUGAGAGAGAGAAACAUGUAUUUUUUUUUCUUCAAAGCAUUGAUAAAAAAUAAGCAACUCUUCUUUAAAAUAAGAAUUAAACAUGUAGUUGAAUAUAUAACAUUUGAAUAUAUAUAUAUAGUUUUGGUUCCAAACUUACUAAAUUAGUUUAAAUAUUAAAAUUACAAAUAAAAUGUUAAAUGAUAAUUGCAGCAUUUAAUGUUAAUUGAUUGAAUUUUUUAUAUUAUUAAGUUUAUGAUUAGGAUAAAUGUCUCAUGCUAAGCAGCAAAAAUCACAUGAUAGACUUUAUGACUCAACAAAAAAAAAAAAAUUACAACUGUGCUAAUUGUUUACACAAAAAACCUACCAACAGGAAAAAAAAACUACCAAGAGAAUUGAUGCAUAACAAGGUUUAGUUUUAUUAAUGGUGUCAAGUUUAUAUUUUAACUUCAUACAAUUUAACAGAGGAUGCACUUUUAGGGAAAAAUCAAUUAAUUAAACUCAAAUUUGUAGCUUUAUGUCAUUAAAAAAACAUAGGUAAAAUAUAUAACAAUGUCUUUUUUUUACUGCAACAAUGUGAAACCAGGCAAAGUUCAACUAUUAAACAAAUUUAUCAAUAGAGUUUAAUAUGGCCAAGAGAUAUUUAGGUUCUUAAAUAUGUUGAUGAGGCAAAAACACUUCAUAAUUAUGUUUUGAAAGAAAUUAAUCUCUAACUCUUGGUUCAAGAAUAUUCUUAAUGAAAAAAAUAAGAUAUAACUGUUUUGAAAAGAGAGGGCAAAAUACUUACACAAAUGUUUCAAACUAAUAAUUCAUGAUUAAAAUGUGAGCUAUCAGUUAAGUUUUAAUUGACUUUGAAAAAAUUAAGUUAUCGGAAGGUGACAAUUUUUCCCCAAAGAAACUGUUAGUAAAUAGAAUAAAUAAAUAAUUUUAAUAGAAGGCCACACGGUUUAAUUCAUUUCUUAAUAAAACCGCGUUCUUAUCAUUUAAUAAAAAAAUAAUAUUACCGUUAUUAUAAUAGUUAAUUAAACUAUUGAAUAAAAUAAAAUUUCAAAUUGUUAAGUUACAUUGUUAAAGCAUAAAGAAUAAAAUUUUCAUACAAAAGUAUAAAGAAUAAUCACAUAAAAAAGUAUAAAGAAUAAAACUUUAUGACAAACAUGGUACGUGGUAACGCGGGGAAGUCACUCUACACUCAAUAACCCGAAGCUAGAAAAGCAUCGACGAGAAAUGUGAACUGAACUCACUCACUUAUAUUCUCCAAUUAUAAGGCACCACCACCAACUCAUUUCAAUAUUCUCUCUUGUCUAAAAAACAAGUAUGAAAUUCAAGUCAAGAAGACUAGAAGCAGAAGCAGGAGCACUGGUCUUAUUCUUUCUCAUUUUGUCAUCGUCAUCUUCUUCCAAUUACGCCAAACCAAGCACCAUCAUUCAUCAAUUCAAGGAAGCCCCCGAAUUCUACAACUCCCCAGAAUGCGCCUCCCUCACCCACAGCAGCGACAGCUACAUAUGUUCGGAGGAAGCGGUACACGUGGCAAUGACGCUGGACACUACAUACAUCCGAGGAUCCAUGGCGGCGAUCCUCUCGGUCAUCCAACACUCGUCGUGCCCGCAGAACACAUUCUUCCACUUCGUCUGCUCCUCUAGCGCGUCCCUCCUACGCGCCGCGAUCUCCCACUCAUUCCCUUACCUCAACUUCCACCUCUACACCUUCGACGACUCCCAGGUCUCGGGCCUCAUCUCCACCUCAAUCCGCUCCGCACUGGAUUGCCCCUUAAACUACGCGCGCUCCUACUUGCCCAGCCUCCUACCCCUCUGCGUGCGGCGCGUGGUGUACCUGGACUCCGACCUAAUCCUCGUCGACGACAUUGCCAAGCUGGCAGCCACACCACUAGGCGAAAACACGGUCCUGGCAGCCCCCGAAUACUGCAACGCCAACUUCACCUCGUACUUCACCCCAACGUUCUGGUCCAACCCUUCGCUGUCUCUCACGUUCGCGGAUAGGAGGCCGUGCUACUUCAACACGGGGGUUAUGGUCAUCGAUUUGGAGCGGUGGCGGGAGGGGGAUUACACCACCAAAAUCCAGGAGUGGAUGGAGCUGCAGAAGAGAAUGAGAAUCUAUGACUUGGGUUCUCUGCCGCCGUUUUUGCUUGUCUUUGCUGGGAACAUUGCUUCCGUGGAUCAUAGGUGGAACCAGCACGGCCUCGGUGGUGAUAAUUUUCGUGGCCUUUGCAGAGAUCUGCACCCUGGUCCUGUUAGUCUCUUGCAUUGGAGUGGGAAAGGUAAACCGUGGGUUCGGUUGGACGCUAAUAGGCCUUGCCCUUUGGAUGCGCUUUGGGCACCCUAUGAUCUAUUGAACACACCCUUCUCUUUGGAUUCUUGAACAAAAAAUUUAUUCAAAUUCGGAUUAUGAUAGGAUCCAUAUAAAUAUAUACUCAUACAUAUAUACAAUUUGAGCUCUCUCUCUCUCUCUGCUGGCGCUUUCGGAUCGGACUACGAUGGAACGUACGGUUCAAUGCAAAGGGUGACGAUUUUUUUUAUUUUGUAGAUUCAUACAGAUCUGAAGUGAACACAAGGCAACGCAGAUUCAAACGGGGAGGAAAGAAAAAGGUGAACUGAAGAGGGUGAAUGAGAUUCGGGAAUUUUAAAGUGACAGGUAAUUGUACUGUUGUUAUUGUAUCAACUAUCAAGAUAACUGUGCAUAUAAAGAGCUUCCAUAUUUUGGAUGCGUAAAUUCCUCAACUUUUUUAUUUUCAACUUAAUAAAGCUCUGUAUAGAGUAUAGAACACAUUGAUUGUUCUUCCUUUUAUUAUAUUGCGCCACGGUAAUAAUUCGAAGUUAGUUUGGUUUUCAUCCUAUGACUAUGAUCAUGUAUUAAUGCACGUGGAGGCUUCCUUUGAUAAACCUAGGCAACUGAAUCCUAAUUAGCUAAAACAGUGGGUUGAUAUGAUACCGGAUUCGAUUCCACACGGCCGCGAAAAUAACAUGAAUGAUUUAUAUUCCCACACACGCAUAUAAAAGUUUUUGAAUAUUUAUUCCCACACACCGUAGUAAUAACUUGCUUUAAAAUAUUAGAGUAAUAUAUUUUUUAUAUUAAUUCACAUUUGUUUGAGUUGCUCCAACUCUAGAAAGUAUAUUUGUCCAUUAAAAUUUUGUUUGAAAACUUAGUUUGGUUGAAACAUGACUUGAGUUGCUUUUUGCAAACUCACCUUACAAGGUUAAAUUUAUAAACUUUAAUCUAAAUAUACACUUACUUUACAACUUACAACAGUUUUGGUUUAAUUUUUUUUGCAUAGAAUAUGGCUAGCCAUGUGAUCCAUAAAUGUUAAUUGAUCUUUUAUUUUGUUUAUUCAACAACAAAAAACAAAUAAUUUCUAUUUAAUUUUUUACUAAUUAAACUGAAAAACAAAGUAAUAUAACAUCAAUUUGAUAAAUAUCAGAGUGACGGAAAACGACAAGAGGUCAAAGUCAAAAUUUGCGAUCAAUACAUGAUAUAAAUACUGGCCAACCAAUAUGUAAAAAUAAGUCUUCUAUAAAAAAAGAUUGACACGAGAAAGAGUUCAUAUAAAUAGUUAAAUACUGUAUAUCUUGAAUGGCAAGUUUCUUUGAAAAAAUUCAAUUUUUUUUUUUUUGCAUUUAUAAGUUCUCUUUUCUUUGAAAUGUAGAUUAGUAUAAAACGGAUCAUAGGUCAAUGACUAGUUAAAUUAUUUUUAUUCACUUGACAACCUGAAAGAUAUAUAUUCAUUCGUUAUUUCCGUUUCUUGUUCAAUAAUCCCGUUUGUGACCCUAAAACAAUUAUUGCUUAUCCUUUCUAUUAAUUGAAGAAAAAAAAAAAGCUGUGUCGGUAGACGAAUAGGAAAGAAACGUGCGAGUACAUCAAAAUAUCUGUAAAGGUGAAGGAAGCUUUCAAUAAUGACUCGUGGCAAGCAGUGAGCGACUCAAGAUGGCGUAUGUGACCCUUUAAUCGUGAGGACUGAGGAGUUUCCAGUUUUUCCAUUUCAUUAUUUUGAUAUCAAAAAUUGAUAUUAUUUGUAAUAUUAUACAGUAUAUGAUUAUUUUUAUCUUUUAUUUAUAUAUAUCUUGAAGAAAAAAGAAUAUCCUACCUUGAUAAGUUGAUAGGAAGAAAGUGGGACAGGAAAGUAUUUUUCUUUAAAUAUAUAAAGUUUUUUUUUAGUCCUUCAAACUUAAUUUUUUAUUAUACUAUUUUCUUCAUAGUAAUUUGCAAAAUAGAAUAUCUUAUAUACUGCUCUUCAACUUUAGUUGUCAUGAGAUCCACUCUUGUUGUCUCCUACUUUUGCAUUUCUGCAUUUUCUUAAGCAAAAUUAAAAUUCAAUAGAAAAUAAGUGAUUAACAGAAUAAGAGUAUAUCGUUGAAUACUAGUGUAUUGUAUAUAUAGCUCUUGUAUAGAGCCUUUUUUUCAACGUCCAUGCAUGUUUAUCGGCUGUUGUGUCCUCUCCCAAACUUUCUCUCCUUUCAUAUUUCUUCUUACAUGCCCUUAUGGAGUUCAAUAUUUUUCAAUGUGAGGCCAAGGGUCAUAUUGAAACUCUUACGACAUUAUAUGAAGUAGUAAUUUUGUAGAUACACAUGCUAAAGAGAAAGAAAUAAAAGACAAAAACAAAUAAGUUAGUCUACUUAUUUAUAUACUUUUUUCCUUCUUAUUUAUAAGACAAAAUUAAUAAUUUUUUAUAUAUUAUUAUAAGAUUUCAUUUAUAUAAACUAAUUUGACUAAAAUAUUAUAUAAUAAGAAGAGAAGAAUAAAAAGGAAAAAGAAAUGUCAGUUAAAUACUUAUACGGUUGAGAUAUCUAUAUACGUGGCAUUGUAGUGCUGAAACUUUUACAUAGCUUUUAAUAUAAUUUUAUGUAGUGCUGAAACUUUUACAAGCAUACAUUGCUGUGUGUUACGGGGGAGUUGGCUGGUCUAGGAGUUAUUUCAUAUUUAUGCUUUUAACCUAUUAUAAAACCAUUUGUAGGGGUCGUGCAGGUGGAAGGGCUACAUACAUAAUCCAUAUAUAUUUUUUUAGUAUUGGGGGUAUUCCUUACACCUUCUAGUUAUAUAUAUUGAAGUUUAUUUUUGCUGAUAAAAAAAAUUACGUGUUAUUGUCAGAAUUUGUUUCUAUCUUUUGAUUUUUUUAAAAUUUGAUUAACAAGGACAUUAUCCAUUUACAAGACAUUAAAUAAUCUUAGUGGAGCUAUUUCGGAAGUUAUUUUUCCUGAGUCAUUCCAACAAUUCUAAGGUGUAAUAUUAUAUUCAUAGAAGUCAUAUUCUAAGGUGUAAUAUUAAUAUUAUUUUUCCUGAGUCAUUUCAAUAAUUUUAUUUGUACUUAGAUUGACGUAAAUCUAAUUUUUAAGCAAUUGAUAGAGUAGAAGAGAUAAUGAAUUCUAAGUGAGAAAUUAAAGAGAAAAAUAAAAGGCACAAAGACAAAAAUAAACAAUGAUUCAAAUGCGAAUGAUGAAUUUAGAAUGCAAAUAUGUUGAGACCUAGCAUGCCAAAACUACUUGUGAUGAUACAAUGUUAAUAAUUUUUCUCUAUCUAAUGUUAUUCCAAAUUUUCUCAUAUCUACUAUGAUGCUCUAUAUUUGGUUCCCCGCAUGAAGAACAUGAUUUAUUUAUUUUUUCUUUUAAAUUCCUUUGCAAAGAUAAAAUAAUAAAUCGCAUUAAGAUUAAAUAUGCAUGAAAUAGGCUAAACAAAUAUCACUCUAUUCCUAGACAUGAUUUAAUUUAGAUGCCAUUUUUCAGUUUUCUAGACAAUAACCAUUUUCCAAUGCAUCACUUUCUGAAUAAUACAUGAGCAUGGAUGAUCAGACCACAAUCAAUAACAAUAAAGUACAACAAAAAAUAAUAAAAACUGGAAUUGCACUAAAUAAAUAGUAGGAAAGAGAUACAUUACAAGAGUUGGUCUGUUAGACUCCCAACAAUGGGGUUUAACCUCUCAUUGCCAUGAGAGACUUUACACUUUAAGGGUUAAAGUGAAUAGAAGAAGAAAAUGGAUGGAUAAGGGAGGAGAAGGGGAGAAUGGCUAAAGAAAGAAAGUUUCUCCUAUUAGAGAUACUCAGGCUUUGGGUGUAUUCAAUAGAAAGUGUGUCUUUUCCUUUAUUUCAUACUCCUUUUAUAGGCCUAAAGUAGUUUAAAUUUUACGCGACCUCAUGCUAAGCGCGUCCUUCUGGGCUUAGCAGGUAUUGUGCUGUGAUCAUGCGCUGAGGGGGGCGACGUUUGGGCUUUGCGAGUAUGGCGGGGAUCACGCGCUUAAUGCGGGAUUCGCGCUAAGCACGCCUUUAGGUUUCUUCGUGAGUCUUCUUCGCACUAAGCUUGAGUUGACCGCUAAGCGAUGAGACGCACUUGACCUGUCUUGUGCGUUAAGAAAACUAUCUCAAUCUUCAAUUUUUUCUUCAAGAUUUUUUCUUCAUGUUUUUUCAUCAAUUUUCCUCCAAAGCACUUGUAAUUUUCCUUCUACUGAAUCAUGCGGGUCAAGAAUUAAAAUAAAAUAAAAACUCUCAUUAUUCCAUUAAAAACAACACUUUAUAACACAUGAAAAUUUAUAAAAAUUAGUAGUGACUCAAAAUACUUUGUUAGUAGGUUACAAAAAAUAAGAUGUCGUCAUGUACACUACUACUCCCAUGCACAGGGCGGAACCACGUUCAGGAUAAGGGGGGCAACCACCCCCUAUGAAUAAGAUGUGCUUAAUACAUGCACCGGAUAUAAUAUAUUUACCCCUCAAUUCCUCUCUCUCAUGCCUCCUAAGUUUCUUACCUCCCGCUCCCUCUUUUAAUGAUAUGUAGUUUAGGCUUUAACAUUAUACUAUAAGUUUAUCUAUAUAUUUAGAUGUUUGUUGGAAUAAAUAAGUAUUGCAUGUAUAUCAAGUAUUAACUUUUGAAGCAUUUUGAUAUGAGUUUGUUGUUGGAAACAGGGAUUUAUACUUACUAGUGAGAUAGAUGGAACCAUUCAAAUACAUAAACCAUCAAAUUAGUCCCUCAAAUAUUACUCUCGCCCCUAAUUACUUUAUGUUAAUUUAAAUAAUUAGUCUUUUACUUAUGCAAAUUUUUCACAAACAUUACCUUUCAUAUAAAACAAAACAAGACUGAAAAAGCAUACAAUGAUAUUGAUAUAUACCAUACCACAUAAAGCAUAAAAGCAAACAUUUUAAGAAGAAAAAGCUUUAGAUGGAAAACCUGUGGUGACGCGGUUGGACAACUACACAAAGCACAACGUCGUGUUCGGCUCUUAGGGUUUGUGUUUUUAUUAAGAGCUUUGCUAUAUCCUCCUAUAUCUAAGAGACCACUAAUGAAAAUCCACAUUCAAUCCAAAGCAAGGAACAUAAAAUAAAAUCACUGUACUAAUCAGACAGAGAGCAUAACAGCGCAAGAUCACUGAUUUCCUUCCGGCUUGUUCGCGCAAAAUGUAAAGAAAACCAUUAAAAGAAGAAGAGGAAGGAAGUCAUACCUGGUUACCUGAAGGAAGAAGAAGAGAAAGAUUCAAGGUCUGAAGUUAGGGUUGGGGGUAGGAUCGUAGGAUGCUGUUUGGUGAUAUAAUGCGGCUUUAGCUAAUUAGCUUUUCUCUCUAAAUGUGGCUUUAGCUUUUUUAAUGUAAAUGUAUAUAAUAAACUAUAUCUAAAUAAAAAUGUGUUUUUCCUCAAAUAUAUAUUUUACUUAUAUUCCAUAAUAAAUUAGUGUAAUGCGUAAAUUUUAAUUAUUCACUAUUCAAGGCGCGUGGGUACGGACCCUAUUCUUUCACGUGUGGACCCUAUUUAUGUUAUUUUUAUUUAUGUUAUUUUCAGUGGCGGGUCGGGGUCGGGGUCGGGGCGGAUAUAGAAAUCCUAUACCCGUACCCGACUUUUGGUCAUAGGGAAAAAUUCGAACUUGAACCCAUACCCGAUCAACUCGGGUAUUACCUGUCAAAGUCGGGUCGGAUACCCACGGGUACAGAUUUUCUUGCCAUGUCUAGUAAUUACACAAUAUUUUACAUUAAAUAUUAAUACAGUAUAAGUAAAUAAAUACUUAUAGUAAAUCAAAAGAUUUAAAAAAAUGAGAGAGUGAUAGAAAAAAAAAGAGAGAUAGAAAAGAGAAGGAUGCCUGAGGAGAGAGAGAGCAUAGAAAGGGGAGUAAGAAAGAUGAUGAGUUCAAAGAGAGAGAUAAAAGUGUGCAAAAUAAAAAAUAUAAGAAGAUUGAAAGAUUAAAAUGUCCUAUUUUUGGACAGGUGUCAAAGAUUUAAUAUAGAUCAAUAAAGUAGUUUUUAUUGUACAUUGUUUAAAUAUAUAACAAAUAAGACAGGGUAGUAGAUAAUUAAAUAAUAUAUUUUUUCUUUUUUAUAUAUUAAACAACUUUAAUUAUUUUUCUUUUUUAUCUAUCAAACAACUUUAAUUUAAAUAUUUUUCUUUUUUCUACUUUAUUUCUCUUCCAUCAAAUAACAUCUAUUUUUAUCUUAUUUCUCUUAUUUUCUUUUCUCACCUUCUACCUACUUCUCCUCCUUUUAUUUCUUCAUCCCAUCAAAUAUAGCCUUAAGUUUCAAUUGCACUCAUUAGGUUUCUCAAGUUUUCUCUAACUUACAAUUAGACACUUUCUCAAUUUAGGGUGAGUAAAAUGUAAAUACAAAAUACUCCUUGAGAUUGAAGACUUUUCUUACCUUGAACUUUUCCUCCUUUAUUUCUAAAACCCAAAAGAAAAAGAUAGACAUAAUAGUAAGUAAAUAUAAUGUAACAACUAAAGAAUACAUAAUAUUUGAAAAAAAUCCUAGAAAGAUGCAAUAACUGUACUGAUUUGAUUGUUGUAUUUACUAUGCCGAGUAAAUUAUUUUUAUGAUAGCAAUAAACAAAAAAAGUAUAUUUUUAAUAUAUUUUUAGACAUUAUUACAAUGACUCGAUUAAUUUUUAAUAAAACAAAAAAAUUAUUUUUAGUCAUUGUUACAGUUCUUUUAAUAUAUAUUUUUUGUUUUUUUCUGAAAUAUGUGGAUCAUUUGUUAUCAGCCCCUUCAAAUAUUUUUUAAAGAAAUUAAUAUAAAUAAAAUAAAAUAUUAUAAGGACUAAAAUAAAGAAUAAAUAUAUUAGAGUGACUUUUUUAUUUGAAUUAAAAGGAUCAAAACAAAAUAACAAAAAUAAAAAAUAAUUUUUAUUUUAUUAAAAACUCAACCCAAGAGAAGAAACUAUUAGGACCUAAAGAUUGCUACUGCAAUUUAUAUUUAAGCAUAAUAUAAAUGAAAAUAAUUUUAUCAUACUUUUUUUUUUCGAUCCCUGGUUUGGGAUUUCCUUUGUAAUCAAGCCAUUUCUUGAAGUAAAAAAAAAAUUAAAAAAUGAGAAGUAAUGCAUGUAAAUUUGGAACGUGCAAAUUAUAGGCUUUAGGUUCGUAAUGUAACGAAUCGUUCGUCGCGCUAAAAAGUGAAGCGACACGAGUCACCUCCCCAGGGACGCAACGCAACGAGAAAGCCCCAAGCAUCCGAAAACCGUUAUUGAGAUUUUAUUAUUCUCUUCUCUGAGAAACGGUCUUGGUUAGAUCGAUUUGAGAUCAGAUAGAAGAAAAUGGCGAAAUCGAGCGCCGACGAUGCGGAGCUACGGCGAGCUUGCGAGCAUGCCAUUGAAGGCACGAAGCACAAGGUCGUUCUCUCCAUUCGAACCGUCAAGACUCACGGCACUUGGGGAAAAACUGCUAAGCUUGGUCGUCAAAUGGCCAAGCCUAGGGUUCUCGCUCUCUGCAGUACGCAACCAACGCCCUAUUUCUCUCUCUCUCUCUUGAUGUAUCAUGUAUUUGUAGUACUGUUGGUGACAGCAUGUUAUAUAUUAUUUUGUGCAGCCAAAGCCAAAGUUCAGCGGACUAAAGCUUUUCUACGAGUUUUAAAGUAUUCCAACGGAGGAGUUCUUGAGGUAAUUAAUGUCCUCCACUGGAGGUUUUGGCAUAUUUCUAUUGGCUAUAAAAUAAAAUUUAUUGUGUUGCUGCAGCCUGCUAAGUUAUACAAGCUGAAGCACCUCUCAAAAAUGGAAGUUGCAACAAAUGAUCCCAGUGGAUGUACAUUUACACUGGUAAGUUUCUGGAACAGAAGCAAAUCAGGAUUCAACCAUUUCCUGCUAUGUAGCUUGUUUCUAUUUGCUGAUGAAUAUGUAUCUUAUAGGGGUUUGAUAACCUUAGAAGCCAGAGUGUGGCUCCUCCACAGUGGACAAUGCGCAAUGUCGAUGACAGGUUAUACCAUUAAAAUGUAUAAUCUAAGCAUGUAGAGUUUAAUCCUUUAUGGUUUUAUGUUAUGUAACGAAAGUGGAGUUUGGCUCACUGCAUCGUCUAUUACUUCUCUUGUAGAAAUCGCCUCCUGUUUGGUAUCUUAAAUAUCUGCAAAGAUAUCCUUGGUCGCCUGCCUAAGGUUGUUGGUAUUGAUGUUGUGGAGAUGGCUCUUUGGGCUAAGGUGCAUAAUGCUCUUCUAAUCACUUAAUUUCGAAGUUGCUUUACUGCCUUUACAAUCAAGCUGCAAUCAUCAUUUUGUAAUAGAUAAUUUUUUUUUUUGCUUUACAUGUUUAACUAAUAAUUACUCUGUAUUUAUCACUACGGAUAGAGUGUGACUACUGACUAAUCUCAUUAGUGAUCUUCAAGUCCUUGAUUUCAAGUUGAGGAUGUUAAACUUUGAUAAAUAGUUACUCACUCAGUCACUGAUUGCUGUUAAUUACUAUAGACUGUUGGUUCCCUGUUUAUUUAUUUCCACCAAUGUGAAAUAGGAAAAUACACCCGCAGUUUCCACUCAAAAUAACCAACAAGAUGGCACUUCUGUUGAAUCUACUGCGGCUGAAACAGAAUUGAAAGUCUAUGUUGAAAAGGAACUUGUCUCCCAGGCAGAGGAAGAGGACAUGGAGGCUCUUCUUGGAACGUAGGUGCUAUCAUUUUCUCUUAAAUUGUAUUGAGGUUAAAUAUUUGUGAUGAGUAAGAAUAUAAUUCAUGUCUUCUGUCUGCAAAGGGUUAUUGCAAUCUCAUAGAAAGUCCUGUUUCUUCCCUUACAAACUUUCUGUCCAUACUUUGUGAUUAAUAUUGGUACACGGGAAUCAUAAGUUAAUUAGCAGUACCAACAAGUGUGGCUUAAUUCGAAAACUGAGCUCUGUAUCACACUUUACCUGCAGUGCAGGGUUUCAAAAUCCACUAGAAGAACUUUUUGGCUAGAACUAAGUCAACACCCAGGCGGGAUUAGUUUCAUAAAUGAUAGAAUUUGAGAGAAAAUGUAAAACCAAUUUAAUCAUUGAUCAGAAUGAUUAAGCCAAGUCUUACAAUUCUGAACCUUCUCUCUAUAUAGAGAAGUCUGCAACUUAACUAUAGUCCAACUGUAAACUAACUAAAUCAGUUACUAACUAACUACAGUUAGUAACUGUCUAACAGAAAACUAGUUAGAAGAAAAAUAACUCUCUUGGAGUAAGAAUACUCUAAUAAUAAACAAAAGGUUGUGACAAUACUCGUGAUGUUUGCCCCCCAAAAAAGCACCAAGUACUGAACAUGACUGCGUUAAAAAGUUCAAAUGAAAAUAUUUAUUUACUUGUGUUAGUCGGAUACAAAGAUAAUUCAGCUAUUCUUUUAUGAAAAAUGCUUUUGUUAAAUGAUAUUUUCUUUUACAAUACAAGUAUGCAUAAUUAAAUUGUUGUAGAAGGAUGGACCUACUUGUGUCAAUGUGAGGGCACAUGUUCCUACUUAUUUCAAAUUUUUAAAAUAUUGUUAGUGUUAAAUUUUUAUUUUUGCCUCAUUAUUUUAACAUUGCCCCCAUCAUGUUAUUCUUUAUCAUACUUUUUUUCUAAUGUGAAGUAUGAGAUGUUAUCUUAUCCUCACUAUCCAAAAUUUCUGUUUACGUCACUUUGUGGUUUUUGAAUGUGCAGUUAUAUCAUGGGUAUUGGUGAAGCCGAGGCAUUUUCUGAAAGGUUAAAAAGAGAGCUCCAGGCUCUGGAAGCAGCAAAUGUGCAUGCCAUUUUAGAAAGUGAACCUCUGAUAGAUGAGGUAUAACUGUUCUUUGAGUUGAUUUCCUUUCUUUUGCUGGUAUUACCUUACUGUUUAUUUGUGUUACUGUAAACAGGCCCCUUGAUUCAUGUAUUACAUUGUGGCUUAAUUUUCUUCCCCUAAAUUAUAGACUGAACAAACCAUUUAUGUUUCUUGAGCUGUGAUUACAAUUAUUUGAGCGCCAAUACACUUUUGUUGCCUUCUUUAUCAGAUAAACCAUUUUGCUUGAUUUUAUCACCCUCUUAAAACUUCAAAACCUCAUGUUGAUAUUUUAAGCUAUUGUUUUAUCUCAUUAUUGUCAAUUCAACCAUUAGAGUUGUUGUGAUAAAAGGAAACAUCACUUCACUUUACAAAUCAUUGUGUUUCUCGUCAUUAGUUAUUUAAAAUUAUUUUAACAUGUUUUUAUGAAGUGGUUCAUACUAAUAAUCUGUGCCUGGCAGGUGUUGCAAGGGCUUGAAGCAGCAUCAAAUUGCGUGGAAGACAUGGAUGAAUGGUUAGGCAUGUUCAAUGUAAAGCUUCGACACAUGAGGGAAGAUAUUGAAUCAGUAAGUGCUUGUAGAGUUCAAGUUUGGAGCAUAAUUUGCUUUGCAAUUUACUUUGUGGUAUUUAUAGCAGUGUUUACUGGAACCCUAGUUCAUUAAGUUUAUUUUUUAGUUCAUUGGCUAAAGCAAAGUACUGCAUUUGCAUUAGUCUUUUUUUAAUAGUCCAACUUCUGUUUUUCUUUUUCUCCCUGUUAUGGCAUUGUAACUCAAAACAGUUAUUUAUUUGUUAUGUUAUAUUAAUAGCUUAUAUUAUCUAUUUAUUUAUUUUUCUUUCCUAAAUCAAUACAAAGAGUGAUGUGAAAAUGAAAGAGAUAAGUAGAAGGAGAAGCUGGCUUCUAUUUGGUGCAAAACUAGUGGUCUUUUUUCUGGGGGUUUCUCUUAGAAACACGCUGAGAGACUGGGUAGCUUUGCUUCAUUGAUAUUUUCCUUGUUUGUAUGGAGGACCCCUCAUCCUCCUGACCCUUUAUUAUCAUCUUCACUUUGACUUAAUGCAUUCCAAUGAACUUUUCUUAUUUUGUCUCGAUUCUUUUGUGGUAUCCAGAUUGAAACCCGCAAUAACAAGUUGGAAAUGCAAAAUGUGAAUAACAGAACUCUUAUUCAAGAGCUUGAUAAGCUUCUUGAGCAAUUGAGUAUCCCUUCUGAGGUAUGGCUUCAAGUGGUGAAUUCAGAUAGUUUGAGUUUGAUGAACUUUCAAUAGCUUGGUAUUUACUUUAAUGGUGUUUCAUUGGGCGUAGUAUUCAGCAUGUUUGACAGGAGAUUCAUUUGAUGAAGCACAAAUGCUGCAAAAUAUGGAAGCAUGUGAGUGGUUGACAACUGCCAUGCGUGGUCUUGAAGUGCCUAACAUAGAUCCUACUUAUGCAAAAAUGAGAGCAGUAUGGUUUGCCUUACUUUUCAAGCUGUUAAGCAAAUUGUUGAUAAUUUAGGAAACGUCAGUUCAUGGUACAUGCCUGCUUGUUUUUGUUAAUUUUAAAUAAAGAAAAUAGACUUCGGGUGCAAUUAUGAGUUGCAUUUAUUAGUUGCUUCCGUUUUGAUUGGUUUGAGAAGCUGCUUAUAUUCAACAUUAUGAAUUUGGGGCAUCACUAAGCAAAUUAAUAUUCUUGGUCACGGCCAGUAUGGAUAACAUGUAUAGGACCUAAAAGUCAUUUGUUUUAAUGGUGGUUUCUGGUCUUCCUACAGGUUAAAGAGAAGCGAGGAGAACUUCAAAUAAUAAAGUCUGUUUUUGUUGGGAAGGCUUCUGAAUACUUGAGAAGUUACUUCGCUAGUUUUGUGGAUUUCAUGUUAAAUGAUAAAAAUUACUUUUCUCAGGUAUUCUCUGCAUAAAUUUAUGAAUUAUAAACUUUUAAAGUGUUAGAAAUUAGAAUCAUUCAUUUUCACUUUGGUUGCUUACUCUAAACAGCGGGGACAGUUGAAAAGGCCAGAUCAUGCUGAUUUGAGGUACAAGUGCAGGACAUAUGCACGCCUUCUGAAGCAUUUAAAGGUUUAAUUAUGGAUGAUUUACAAUUUCUGCUUCGAGUUCAGUUUUGCGCAUAUAUAUAUAUAUAUAUAUAUAUAUAUAUUGAGUUAAUUUCUUUGUUUCCUCCCUUAAUUAUCUUUCCUCUAAACUUGCAGAUUCUUGAUAAGAAUUGCUUGGGUCCACUGAGAAAAGCUUAUUGCAGUUCUCUAAACUUGCUUCUUCGCAGGGAGGUAAGAGAUUACAACCUAUUCACCCACUGUAUUGGUAUUAUUUUUUUUAUUUCUUGGUCAUUUGGUGGUAAAAUUCUUGUUAUUACUUUAGCUUUUUAUGAACUGAGAAGUGGCCAUUAUAGUUGAAAUAAGGGGAAAACUGAAUUAUAUUUCUUGAUUAAAAAAAUACAAGCACUAAUGUGAUUAAAAAAAUAUAAGCAAUAAAAACAUGAUUUGAAAAUACAGGAAAUAAGUUUAUCAUAAUAAUUACAGGGAUAAUUACUGAUAUUAUUUUAUCUGAAAAUAAUGCUAAUUUACACAUUUACAACACUACCCUUGAAUAUCAAUCAAUCUCAGCUUGCAAGUAAGAUCUCAGGACGGCUUUGUGGGAAGCCCCUUGAUGAAUAAAUCUGCCAAUUGAACUCUUGAAGGAAUGUAGGUUGUAGUUAUUAGAACACAGAUUAAUUUCUCCUGGAUGAAGUAUUGGUCUAUCUUUAGUUUCCCAUUUUUGGGAUCUCCUCAUUACUUCCAAUAUUGUGAUUCUGCUCGAUGGGUAUUUCAGAUGUUUUACAACCCAAUUUACUAAUCUCUUUGAGAAGGUCAAGAACCUUCUUUGGGUGAUGAAGAUAACUUCUUUGAAUAGGAAACCAUGCACAUUAUUCCAAGAACGUUCUGACUCCCUGACUGUUUUCUGUAAUUAGGUUUGAUUGUGUAAUUAUUUUGGUUUCCUGCAUAGCUAGUAAUGAUUUUAUUUCCUGUAUAAUUAUUUUGUUUGUUUUUUAGUUUAGCCUAUUUUAGAUAAUUCAUUGGAUUUUAAACCGUGCAUUUUGAUUAAAUUAUAUUUAUAUAAAAAUACAUGUACAUUAAUAAAAUAAGUUUUUGAAAUAUUUAGUAGCAUAUUAAAUAUAAUUAUGUUGAGGAAGAUGAUUAAUUAUAUUUUUAAUUGAGAUGUUUCCUUAAAAAAAUAUCAAGUCUAUCAAAAUUUGUUUUUAUUUCUUCACGCUUCUAGUAAUAAUAGUGAUGUAAUAUCUACAUGAAAUAUAAAAUUAAAAAAAUAUAAUAAAUAUAUAUUUAUAACAAUUUAAAUUUGAGUAUUCAUUAUCAUUACUUUUAAUUAUUAUUGUUUGCAAAAUAUAUUUUAAUAACUAGACUUAAAAUAUGACCAGUAAUAUUUACUUCCAGCGGGAAAGGAUCAUCUUUUUUUUUUUUUUUUUUGGAGAUCCUGCAUUGACCAGACCAAAGUUGUCUAUAUAAGUGGGUGAUAUCCAUAAUUCUAAGGCUUUUGUUGAAUCACUUCUAGCUAACUAAAUUAUUUUCUUAAUCGCUAUCUUCUUUCCGUACAUCUCAACAACUAACUCAAAGACAUCAAUAAAGAACAAGAUCAUUUUACGUUAUUACUUAACUACUUGGAGAGAUAUGAUUUACAUAACUUUAAAUAUGUUGGAGUAAUUUUGAAAAUAAUUAAAUAACAUAUCCUUGAACUUGAUGUUGCGUCUUCUUUAUUAUGAUUUUUUUGGUCUUCGCUUAACGGAUGCUAUGACCUGCUACAAUUGACAAGUGAAAUUUUGUUAAUAUUAUUAUUAGGUUUAAUUAUCCAUUUAAUUUCUAUAAUUUUUAAACUUAUUUUUUAACCUCUAUAAUUAAUAAACGAAUGUUUUAGUCUCUAAAAUUUAAUAAAUGAAUUUUUUAGCCUAAGUUUAUAAUUUAAUUCUUAAAAAAAAUUUGUCGUUAAAUCUUUUUAACUCUAUUAAGAACUUUUUGAGAAUUAAAAUGUAAAUUUUAAAAAUAAAAAAUACACUUAUUAACUAUAAAAAUUAAAAGGGAUAAGUUUAAAAAUUAUAAAAACUAAAUGUGUAAUUAAACCUUCUUAUUAUUAUUAUUAUUAUUAUUAUUAUUUGGGUUCUUGUUCAUAUAUUCUUGUUUGUUAUGCUUUGGUAAAAUAGUGUGCAUAUGGAGUCUAAAGUUUUAGGAAUCCCUUUACAGGCCCGCGAGUUUGCUAAUGAACUUCGUGCUAGUGCUAAAACUUCCAAAACCCCAACUGUUUGGGAAGGCUUCAUGGGUUCUGGUCAAAAUGUAAAUUCUGCUGACACUGCAGCAGUUUCUGAAGCGUAUGCAAAGAUACUCACAAUUUUUAUCCCACUUCUGGUGGAUGAGGUGAAAGUUCUUGAUAUUCUCAGUCCCGGAACUUGUUAAUAUUUAAUGUUUCAAAUGUGUAACUAUUCAUGGCCUAUGUUUCAGAGCUCAUUUUUUGCACACUUCAUGUGCUUUGAAGUUCCCUCACUUGUUGAUGGUAAUAAAACUGGACACAAUGACCAGAAAAAUGAUGAUGAUUUGGGAAUUAUGGACAUUGAUGAGAAUGACAGUAAAUCUGGUACAUGUAUCACUUUCAAGAAAUAUUCUUUUUUUACUUUUAACUUUAUAUUUAAACUCCUAUGGUUUUAUUUUUCUAUGGUGAGAUCAAUUGUUCCAUAAUUUGAGCAUUUCUUCAUCUUUACAGGUAAAAAUUCUGUGGAUUUUGCAGCUUUAAAUGAAUCACUUCAGGAUUUGCUUGAUGGAAUUCAAGUAUGCAUAUAGUAAACUCUAUAUCUCUUAUAAUGAAAUUUUUAGCUUAUGAUAUUUUUUGAAAUGAAUUGAUCUAGGUCCUCUCAUGUUGUCACUUUAGUUGUGGUUACUCGUAGCCCACCUUAAGUGUGGCAGGUAGCCAUAUGCAUAAAGAAAUGUGUUGGAGAUCUCACAUCAACUAGUGAUAUGACCAAUAUAAGUGGGAAACAACACUCACCUUAAAAGUCAAUUUUGUAGGUUUGAGUUAGGCCUAAUCUUAUAUUCUAAGAUGGUAUUAGAAUAUAUCCUAAAUUCAUUGGUGGGAGACCUGCAUUUGCCACGCUCCUGGAGGGUAGCCUUGAGUGUGAGGAUGAGGGAGAGUGCUGAAAAGCCUCCUUAUCUUAAGUUGUGGCGAAUAGCGAUGGUCAUAAAGGAGAUGUGUUGGAGAUUUCACAUUGACUAGUUAAUGGCCAAAAUAGAGUAUACAAGUGGGGUGUAACUCUCACUUACAAGUCAAUUUUGUAGAGUUGGAUUAGGCCCAAACUCAUAUUGCAAGAUGUUCUUUUGUAAUAAAAAUUUAACUGUCUUGUUCUGUAUGUUGUUUCUCUCUUAGCAUAGUUGUUAAUAUCAUGCCAGAGGAUCCAAAUUAAAGAUAAAGUGGUAGAGCUUUUAUGAAUUCUCCGUAGCAAUAGAGUAUUGAGGGUUAGUCAUUUUAGUCCUUGAAAGAAAGAAAUUGCUCUCAAGGUUAUUGAAUAUUUAAUAAUCCUUGUGAUAAGUGAUGUGAGUUAACACUAAUCGAAAUGCUGCUUGUGGGCUGUGGCACUGAAACAUAAGAUGUAUGGAGGAAAAUGGAUGGUAGAAGAAGAUGACUAUCUUUCAAGGACCUAAAAGAUGUCACAUGUGCAUCUUGUGUGACACUUAAUGUACCGCAUCAGCAUUUUUGUUAGCGUUAACUGACAUCAGUUAACAUAGGGACUAAAAUGACCAAUGGAUGGAAGACUAAACGAUCUCAGGAGCACUUAUUUUCUUUCAGGACAAAAAUGUUUAACGCCCAAUUUUUCAGGGACCAAAACAAUGAUUCACUCACUUGCAGCAUUGUAUAUUUUAUCUCAUGUAAGCUGAACAUAGCAUAAUCAUGUUAUGGUCUAGCAAUGAUAAACGUAUUUUUCCUUAUAAUUUGACAAUUUGUAACGAGUUUCCAGAUGGAUUUUGGUAUGUUAAUAGAUUUGCUGCUAUAAAGUUGCUUUAUAAUUUCUCUGAUUUCAGGAAGACUUCGCUGCUGUUGUGGAUUGGGCACACAAAAUUGAUCCUUUAUGCUGCAUAUCAAUGCAUGGAACUACAGAACGCUAUCUCUCUGGUCAGAAAGCUGAUGCAGCAGGAUUUGUACGCAUUUUGCUUGGUGAUCUAGAGUCUCGCAUAUCUAUGCAGUUCAGCCGUGUAUGUGACUAGUUUUAUAAAUAAUUCCCACUUGCAUUUAGAAGAUUGAGAUGCUAACCCAAUUCAUAUAAUUGGAUAUCUUUUUUCAGUUUGUGGAUGAAGCUUGCCAUCAGAUUGAAAGAAGUGAGCGCAAUGCUCGCCAAACGGGUGUCCUACCGUACAUUCCUAGGUAAGAUGAUCCUUGGAGUUUACUUUUUGCCUCUUUUCUCCAAAGAAAAUCGGGAUUUUUUUUCCCCAGAAUGAAAGCUUUAUCUGCUGGUCCUUUAUCAUUUUUUCAUGUUCAUUAGGGUUUUAAUUAGUUGCAGUUUUAUAUUAUCUUGAUGAGGGUUGUAUAUCCCGAUCUACGGAAAUUAUUUGUUUUUCUUUUAUUCCAUGUUAGAAUAUAUUAUUAGUAGUAUAACUGUCACUGUCAGAUAGUUGUAUUCUGUUACAAUUCAAUUAUAUUCAGAUUUGUGUAGCACUCUUGAGCUGUAAAUCGGUUAGCUGAUCUAACUAACUUCAGCAGUCUUUAAAUAGGGAUCCUCUGUACGUUUCAGAUAUACUAAAAAAAAAAUUCUCAGUUUCUCUCUUUUCUCUCUCUCACGUACCUUUCUAAGAUUCCAUUUUUAGGAAAUUAUUUAUAUUUCAUUUAUUCCACUAAGGUCCACAAUGGUUUUCUAUGGAAUUGUGGAUCUUUUUAUUAGUUUUUAUUUGUGGUGUACAAUUCUGGGGAAUGUGUGUAGUGGUUAUAAUAUCUACAAUAAACAAAAAGGUAUAGUAUUUUUUAGUUGGACAUUUCCUAGAAAAGAUCAUGUACAUUUUCCACUCUUUUGAGCCAGCUAUACAGACUUCAGAUUGUUGAACAUGUGUUGAAGAUCUCACAUCGACUAGUAAUGGAAUCAAAAUAAUAUAUAUAAGUGGGGACAAUCCUUAUCUUACUAGUCGGUUUUAUAAGAUUUAGUUAGAUUCAUAAAUGUAAUGAAAGGAUCUUAACACCAUUGUGUAAUGUUAUUAAGGAUUGUCACGGUGAAUUGGUAUUGUUUGCUAGCCAGUUUUUAUGAACCACAUUAAGUUGAGUUAGGUUCCUUUGGGUUCUGUAAAUUGCAUGAUGUUUCAAAGAAAUUACUUGCGCUUUUAAGGACAAAAUUUGAAGAUGUAAAAGUGGCUCCUAUUCUAUUUGGUGUCCGUUUUUAUGCACAACAGUUAAAUGACAGAGCCACCUCACUAUUUAGUUUCCAGUCUGUAUAUAAUAUCUUAAGUUUAUCUUCAUAUCUGGUGUUCAGUAAUGCCUUGAUUGUUUGCAUAUAGAUUUGCAUCCCUUGCAACACGGAUGGAGCAGUAUGUUGCAGGACAGUCGAGGGAUUUGGUUGACCAAGCAUACACAAAAUUUGUAAGUGGCUCCUUUUUAGAACUGUUUUGUUUUGUGACGUCUCAUCCCAUAUUUGUGUGGCUGUCUCUAAAUGCAUACUACUUGUAAAACAUCAUUUGUCAAGGCUGUGUGUAGCAAUUAACAUCUCUGUCCUUCGAAGUCUCCUUGUGUUGCUUCAUUUGAGCUAUGGUUGGAUUAGUUCUCAAUGGUGGAACAUCCUUGCCUUGAUCUACAUACUCCCAUUCCCAUAAGCCAAAGGACUUCAAGCAUGAUCUGAUUUUAACAACCUAUAUGUGAUAAUUUUCCCCAGAAUAUUGAGGAACAGGAAAGGCAUUGCUUCUUGAAGCCACAGCCUAUAAGAACACAGAUCCAGAUACCACUGUUAAAGGAACACAGCCUAAACCAUAAUUAGAGACUCAUGACAAUGAGAAAAGCAUGAAAAGAGACAGCAAUUUUCGUUUCUGCUGCUAAAACCAUAGUGUACAAUCAUUCAUACCUACUCAACAAAAGGAAAUCACACCCAUACAUGUUGUCAGCAAAAGGAAAUGUACCCACAGUCAGUAGGUGUACAAAUUUCCAGAAUAAAGUCAUACCUACUCAACAAAACAUUACCAACUAAAGUAAGCAAACAUAUUACAUCAGUAUAGAAGUAUUUUAGAAAAGUUUUACAGGUUUAACAUUACCUAUUCCCUGGCUUGACAGCCAAUAGACAAUGAUACAUCCCUAGUGAAUGAAGAAUUGAGUCUUAAGUCAUCAGCACUUUGUUGAUAGAUAGUGAUACUACAGGUGAUUUCAAUUGUUUACUGCCUAGCCCUAUUGUAUGCAUUCCAAGUACUAUUAAAUUGCCUUUUUCAUAUUUCAUCUUUUUUCUGUCACUUUUUCCUGGCAUAUUGUUUAUUGGUGGGAUUAUUGCUUGACAGGUUAGCAUAAUGUUUGUAACUUUGGAAAAAAAUGCACAAACAGAUCCCAAGUAUGCAGACAUUUUUCUUAUUGAAAACUAUGCCGCAUUUCAGAAUAGGUAAUGUUUACGCAUCACCCUGCCAAAUGGAGGCUCGAGGCUGUUUCAAUUCUUCCAUUUUUUUUAGGUAAUUCUUUAUACACAGACAAAGAUAUUUUUCACUUAUUAUUUUGUUCUUUUUGCUCAGUUUGUAUGACCUUGCAAAUGUCGUUCCCACUUUGGCGAAGUUUUAUCAUCAGGCUAGUGAAGCCUACGAGCAAGCUUGCACACGCCAUAUUAGUGUGAUUAUCUACUAUGUAAGUAUUUUAUUCUCUAUUUUAUGUCUUUUUGCCAACCAUACUUGAAUUUAUAGCCUGUAAGACGUAACUCAUUAUCCCUCUCUGCCUUGGAAAGCAAUUUGAACGCCUUUUCCAGUUUGCUCGAAAGAUUGAGGACUUGAUAUUGAAUAAUGUUGCACCUGAAGAGGUUUGUUUCUGUAUAAUUCAGUUUGUUAAUCUUCAUAUACACUCAUGCUGUACAGCAUCUCAAUAUAUUUGGAUUUAUUUUAUCAAACAAUUGAUUGCAACGUUUCUCCUACAUUGAUUGAACUAAACAUUGUAGAUCUAGUUUAAAAUUCCAUUCUAGGCAUCAUGUAUAAUAAAUUAUGAGAAACUAAAUAGAUUGUUAUACUAAUAUUUGGGAUUUCCCUCCCCAGUAUUAACAACGAAAAACAGACUUAAUUAUCAAAAUGUAUAUACUUGUAUUGCGGUAUUCAUUUUGAUUCAUGUAAACAUAGAACAUUAAUGUAAAGACCUAAAAUUAUUUAAAUCAUAUUUGAGAUCAAUUAAAUGUUACAAGAUAAAGUAGUGUUGAUUAACAAUAUUAUCUAUCAAGAGUAAAUUGUUAGCAUUAUUUUAUUAUAUAAUAUUGAUAAUUUUGUAGUUAAGAUUGACUUGUGGUGAAAGAAGGAAGAAGAGAAAGAUCAUGGGUUGAAAUUCUCUCAUUACCAAAAACUAACAUACUAACAUGUGAUAAAAAAAAAGAAAGCUAAAAAAUGAAAAUUAUUAAGUUAAAUUUGGUUAUGAACAUAAAUUUUGCGUAAGGCCUGGAAUUUCUAAGCAUAACCAUGAGGAUUACUCAAAAUUUUACUCAAAAUUUUAAGGACUAUUUUUCCCUUAUAAGUAACUAAUUUGGGACGUUUUAAAAUUGUUUUCAAACAGUACUAAAAGAUUGAUUUGUGCUUUUGCAUGUCACAAUUGUCUAAUAUUCUACAUCAAUUUCAGAUUCCUUUCCAAGUUGGGCUGUCAAAAGCAGAUCUACGGAAGACGUUAAAAUCCAGUUUAUCCGGGGUAAGGUGAUGCCUAUCUUUUCUGAAAAUACUUUCGUAAGUGCCAUGCUUACAUUGUGAAUUGUCUUUGCUUUAUAGGUGGACAAGUCCAUUGCUGCGAUGUAUAAGAAGUUGCAUAAAAACUUGACUUCGGAGGAACUCUUACCUUCCUUGUGGAAUAAAUGCAAGGUAUGCUCUUCUUACUUCCAAUUGACCCAAAAAAGAAUGAACCGACAAUCAUAUGGUAAAUAUUUCUGAGGCCAUACUUCAAGGGUCUUGUGAUUGCUUUGGCAGUUUGGCUGAGAGCAUGACUACUGAAAUUCCACAAACUCUGAAAAUGAGCAUAAGAAAUACAAUAAAGAAUAUUUUUGUAUUGAAUGCGGCUUCUAACUGCUUCAUCCUCAACAUAUUUAAGUAUUGUCAAUUACUAUAGGCACUUUAGUAACUUAUAAGUUACUUUGACUAGCUUAUAAGCUAAGAAUGUCUGCUAUAUCUAAGUAAAAAUGCGUGUGACAAAUUCUGAUUGUUGUUUCCACAAUUUUUACAGAAUGAUUUUCUUGAUAAGUACGAAACCUUUGUCCAACUUGUCGCGAGGAUUUACCCUGCUGAAUCAGUCCCUUCUGUAGCAGAGUUGCGAGACCUUUUAGCUUCCAUGUAAAGGUUUAUACACAUGCCUUCUUUCCAUUUUUUUGGCCUGUAAUCAUUCUUUUUACGACGUAAUUUGAUUUACUUUAUGAAGUGCAUUUUUGUGGUUUUAAUUACUUGAAACAAGCAUUAUAAUGCUUCAUAGAAAGAAUGUGAUGAAUUUCUUAGCUCAGGUUUAAUUUUAAUAUUUUGCUUACUAUUUGAUAGUGAUUCUUUAUGUAUUUGUUUAGAAUUUAAUUAGAGUUCACUUUUAAUCAUAAAUUGUAUAAUUUUUAAAGGUUAUUUUAAUCUUUUGUAAUAAUUAGUUUAUAAUUUUUAGAUAAUGGACAGUGUAGUAUAUCAAAACUAAACCAAUUCAUUAUGGUCAGCAGUUGAAAGUGUGAUACUUUCUAACUGUAUCUUGUGUAGUUGAGUACCAAGAAAUGGAAGGAACCAAUAGUGGGUUAUUUAAAUGAAUUGGAUGAGUACGAGAAGGAAAAGAAAUUAAACCAACUGAGCGGAUAAGCAAACCUUGUCUAUUACUGAGAAAAAAACAUGUUCUUGAUUGCUCAUUGGAGCUUCAUGAGUCUAAUUUUGUGGAAUCGCAAUCACGGGACGAGAAGCACCAGAAUCAAUAUACCAACUUUCAGACCGUUGUUGAGAAGUCUAAAAAAUGAAGGUUUGCAGAGUUGGGAAAAGACUUGAAAAUGUGGAGGAUGGAGCACAACUAGUCAUGUGAACUAGAUGUGAAGGAGGGAGGCAUUACAGAGUGUUGCUACGACUACGAGGAUUGAGGGGUCUAUGGAGAGUGUAUGCAGGGAUGAACCAAGGAUCAACUCUAUAGCUUAACCAUCUACCCUAAAAAAAUCAAACCCUAUAAUUCUUUAUCAACUUCCAUACAAAAAAAAUAAAAAUAGGUUUGUAUGUUUUUCUUUUUGUCACAUCAAAUUUAUCAUUAUCUCUACAGGAGUGCUUAACAACUUAUCACUUGUACAAGCUUCAACAUUCUUCUAUUAGCAUGUUUUGCGUCUUACGCCACCAAUUUCAAAAGUACUCUCUCAAUUGCCAACUUUUAAUAAAGAACAGUUUCCAACUUAUAUUAAAGAAUAAAAUCUCAAAGGAUAGGAUUCGUAUGCAUCCAAUAUAAAGAGAUACUCUUAAUUUGUAAUCACUACAUGUGUAUUUAAAGUUAUUUUUCAGUAUAAUUUAUACUGAAUUAGAAAAAUAUUAAAUUGAACCGAACUAAAUUGUUAUUUAAACUGAAUUAGAAAAAUAUUAAAUCACUACAAGUGUAUUUAAUAAAAAAAUAUUUUUAAAAUAAUAUAACAUAAUAGUUAUUUAAGUUUAAUUUAUAAAUUUUAAAUUAUGAGAAUAAAUUAGAAAAAUAUUAAAUUGAACCGAAUUAAAUCGUAAAAAAUUGAUUUUGUUUGAUUUAAAUUUAAUAUUAUAUUUAAACCGAAUUAUAUUUUUAUUUUAUGCUUGGUUGAUAUGGUUUUUUGUUUAAAAAUUGAACGGACUGCAAACAUGAAAAAAACAAAAAAAAAAAACCGUGUGAUAAAAUGAAAUGAAACAUAUUUAAGACGAGAAGAAAUAGAAGAGUGAGAUGUGAAACUAGAAUGGAGGCGGCGACAAAUCAGAAACAUUAAUCCCUCCGAAGUUUUCCGACUUAAGCAUGAUUUUGUUGGGUUCAUAUUCUUUGACUUCAAUUCCCUCAUCUCCUAUAUCUCUCCGCCCCCACUCCUCUGUUGCCCAUGGAAGAAUGGUGCAGUGUUCGCGCAGAUGCGAGCUUUUCGAUCUGCAUCAGGAACUGAUCCCUUAUGACGUGGCAUGGUCUUGGCAAAAAGACAUCGUCAGGGAAAAGAAAUCACAGAUUGAGAACGAAGGAGAUUGCAGCGACACACUUAUUAUUCUGCAACACCCUUCUGUUUACACAUUGGGUACCGCUAGUACACACCACAACCUCAACUUUGACAUCGAAAAUCCACCCUUUCCUAUUUAUCGCACUGAACGCGGCGGAGAAGUUACGUUCCACGGCCCUGGCCAGGUCCUUCUUCCUCUUGUCAUUUUUUCUUCCUUUUAUCGUAUGAUAUUAUUAUCCUUCUUGUUUUUUACUUUGGAGUUUGGAUUAAUGUAUUUUGAUUUUGCACUGCAGCUAAUUAUGUACCCUAUUAUCAACCUCCGAAGACACAAGAUGGAUCUUCAUUGGUACCUCCGGACCCUUGAGGAGGUCGUUAUUCGUGCUCUUUCUUCAACAUUUUCAAUUCAGGCUUCUCGGGUAGAAGGUUUAACUGGUGUUUGGGUUGGUAAGUCUCAAUUAUCUUAUCUUUGUUGCCAUCUACAUCAACAAUUUGUAAAUUUGGUGUCAGAUAUUUAGCUUGAUUCAUAUGUUUAUUGAAUAGUUUGGAUUACCGUGUGUCUUUGGUAUCGGUCAAUCUCUACCCAACAACACAUAGUCAAGUUUUAUGAACUCUUUAUCAUAAAUUGAAAAAUGUGGUUACAUAUUACGUGGUAAUUGACCGGUUCUUCAGACUAUACAAUAUUUUUUCCUAGAGGUGAGUAUGAGACUAUCACCAAACCACAACUUUUUAAGUUUGCACUAUCAGUAGCCAGACAAUGAGAUUGCUGAACUUAUUCAAGUUGUGUUUUUGAGUUUGUCAUGAUUUGAGAAAUGUUGAAACAAAUCCAACUUCAUUCAUUUUUUUUUUCUUAUUCUUCAUUGUUAUUUAUUAUUCCAGGAAACCAGAAACUGGCAGCUUUAGGUAUACGAGUGGCUCAUUGGAUAACCUAUCAUGGCUUAGCGCUGAAUGUCACAACGGAUUUGAGCCCCUUUAAAUGGGUCAUCCCAUGCGGAAUACGUGACCGUCAAGUGGGGAGUAUAAAGGGCUUGCUUAAAGAAGCUCAAUCAUGUAUUGCUCAUGGAACAUCUGUUUUGCACGAUUUGGAUGAUACCAGUCUUAUUCAUAUUACUUACAGGUCCUUGAUUGAAGAGUUCUCACGAGCGUUUCAGCUUGAGUACCAUUAUAAAACUAUUUCUGUACCUGUUUUGUGUAAAAGGAAACCUAGCUGUUUUUCAAAAGAAACGCAGCAAAGUUGAAUUUGUUUGAUGCAACAUGGUAGCCCACUAGUCCCUUGAUUACUGUAUACUAUUAUGCACCAGAAUACCAAUUGCUUGCAAAAAAUAGCUAGCUGAUAACAUUAUAAACAAUUUUUCUCCACUUUUCAAACGAAAAUUGGGGGAAACAACCAAGUGACAUUUUCAAAACAGAAUGAAUGAACUCCCAUUUUGCUUUGGCCGUAGUCCUUUCAAAUUCAGGUCUUGCAAAGAUUACAACCUUAGGGAAUGUUUGAUUUGACUGUAUUUUGUUUUCAUUUUAAUGGAAAUAAAGAAUGAUAAUGAAAAAUGCGUUUGGUUAAAUUUUUAAAAACAUUUUCAGUGAAAAUAUUUUUCCUAACGAACCAAAAACUAAAAAUAAUGAAAUCUCGUUUUCAGUGUUUUCAGUUGAAACCAAAAAUCUCAUUUUGGGUAAAAUGAAAAUGUGAUAAAGAAUGUAAUUUUAAACAAAUCUAAAAAUACAUUUUCUUUUGAAAACACAUUUUCAGUAUUUUUAUUUCUUGAAAGUAGAAAAUAAGAAAUCAAAUCAAACAUGUUUUCAAAAUUUUAAUCUUUUGAAAAUGAAAACAAUUUUCAGAAAAUGAAAAUAAAAAAUGAAAAUGCAAACCAAACAUACCCUUAAUUUUCUUAGUAAAUAAGGGCAUUACAUUUAAGAAAUAAAAAAUGAAAGAGAUGGGGCAACAAUUUUUUUAAUGAAAAGCCUGCAUUGAAGUUAAUCAACUAAUAGUGCCCGUGCCUUACAGAUAAAAAUGUUACGCAAAUAUAUACAACACUCUUCCCUAAUUCACGCUAAACUCAGUAAUGAUCUGCUACAGGUCUAGAAGGGAAUAGCCUCAAAAGAAAUGUCAUCAAUGACCAAAGGCACACAAUCCCCAGUACUUGGAAGGUGAUUAACAUUGCGAACAAAGCUCCACUUCGUUCUACCAAUUCAGGGCCCGCAGGAAGCCCCUUCAUAGAGAAUAACAACUUCUCGGCAAAAUUAGCAGCUUUUGUAAGCUGAUAUAGUCUGUAUACCUAGCAAAACAAUUUAGAAUAUUACAAACUAAUUACAGGUAAAGCCAAAUUACAGUUACACCCCUGCCAUCUGUUGACAGAAGAGUCAAGCUGCAUCGAAUCUUAAAUCAAUCUAAAAUCAAACAAAUAGACAAACCUCAAAUAUAACCGGGACUAGAGGCCAGCAAGAUGACCCACGAUUGUCCAAAGCUUUCUCAAAUGCAAUUUGUGCAACACAGCCAACUAAAAAUGGAGUUAUAGCAACAAAUGCUGCAAUGCGAAUUGCUGACCAUGUCACAAACAAAAGAAUGAGAGGAGCAAUAAUCUUCAAACCCAUGGUGAAGAAAGCAGAGAAUAGGUAUCCUCUGAGGCCAGUAAUAAGACCCCAUCUUUUUGAGCUGUACUGCAAAUACGGCCUCUGGACACAAUCAGUCACAUGCAAGAAUGUCGCUAGUCCAAUGUAGAACAGGACCUCGUGAGAGAAUAUAGUCACAAUAUCUGCAUUUUAUUGGUAAUAGAAAUGUGCAUAAGAGAUGCUAGUAUAAGGCUCUUACAAAAUCAAAGCUAUGAAAAUUACAGAACUCCAUUCAGACAUCCAAACUAAUUUUAAUAGCAAAUUCAACUUCUUUGUCCAAAGACAUAGCUCAGCAGUACACUGUCUAACAGAACGCUAUGGAAACACAAUUUUACCAAAAUAACUAAAAGUUAUACAAGCAACAAAGGGUUCAAUUCAAUCUUCAAUAUGUGCUAGUGAGAAUUCUACCAACAGGUAAGUGAACUAAUUAUUUUUACUUAAGCCUACAUCCACACCACCAAUAACCUCCAGAAAUACAGCAAAAUGCAAGGGGAAUGCAAUAGCAUGAGACAUUGUCAUUUUUUCAACAUCUUUUGUGCUUUUGUCUAAGAAUUUCUUUUCACAUAAAAUGUCAGAGUUCUUUGACAUUGUUCUUCCCCGUAUGUUUGGUUUGAGAUUGGUAGGAUAAUCAGUGAGGGUUAGGUUCUCGAUUUUCCCAGUACAUAGACAGACAAAUACUAGAUACGUAAUAAUUUCUGUACCUAAUCAGAGGACUGCAUUGGAAGUGAGACUGCUGACCACUAGGUUCUCGAUUUUCCCAGUACAUAGACAGACAAAUACUAGAUACGUAAUAAUUUCUGUACAUAAUCAGAGGACUGCAUUGGAAGUGAGACCGCUGACCACUUGAAAGAAAUUGUAUAAAUUUAAUUAAGGUUUUGAUAAAAAAAAAUAAUGAGAUGAUUUUGAAAUUUGGAUAUCACUCUGCGACUUAUAUUGAGCGAAUAACUAAUUUGGUAUUAACAGCAGCAAGAAAUCUUAACAAUGUAGCAUAAUGCAGACAAAAUAGAGGGGUGGCAUCACAUUUAAUUAUGAACACAACUACACUCAUCCUAUGUUUUGGUAGUUUUUUCAAAGUUUGACUUUCUGCAACACAUACAACUACCAUCCAAUUUCAAGAACAUAAGGGACAAAAUUCAAAGACAGUAAGAGAAAGCACAAAGUUGUAUCCAUUCCAUACCUAUUAAAAUCACAUUAUUAAGGAAAGCUUCAACCACAUUGUCAACAAAAAACUGUGGCAAAAUCAAAGACGCUAUGAACGCAGCAGGAGCUAAGACCCAUAAGAAAGAGCCACCCUUUCCUUCAAAGGGGGAAGAUUCCAAUUUCCCUUCUUCUACAGAUUGGUGUGUCAGGCCACAAAAAGAGACGGAACCUGAUUUACCAUGAAACGGUUCCGCCCCGUUAAAUGUAGUAACGGGCACACUAGAACUUUGUUUUGGAUGAACUUCCAAGCCACCGUUUAAAUUGGAAUCAGAAGAAUGUACAAGAAGCCUCUGGAAUUUGCUCAAUCCCAAAAGUGAAGGCUCUUUAAUCACCCAUUUUAAACCUGUAAUAAAAAAAAAUCAAUUUGUUGAAUUUUCUGGUGUAAACAGAGACCCAAUAUACAAACAACAAAUUCAAUUUUGUGGUGUAAUUCUGAACCGGAAAAUGCAGCACCCAUACAUUUUGAGGCGUUUCCGAAGUGAAAUCUUUGUCUUUGAUUUGUGAAUGGAGCGCGGAUUCCAAACGCUGGUGACUGCGAAUAAACAUUAACGAAUAGGUGAAUAGUAUUCGAGAAUAGCAGAGAAGAGUUAGAAUGGUAACAUAGAAAAAUUGAUUCGGAGGUGUGGGUUAAGGUUUACUCACUGAUAGAAUACGAUGAUUGGAAGAGUGAAGUGGUUGAGAGGGAAGAGCGCAACAAAGGGUCUGAAGUUCCAUCACUCACUUUUUAGGGUUUUAGAACUAUGAGCUUACCCCCCUGCUUCUAAAACCCCUUGUGAGAGUAAUUUUACAUAAUUUUUUAUUCUUUAAUUCUUUUUUAAUAACUAGAAAUCCUCUACGUAGUUAAUACUACUAGUAUAAGCUAAAUCUGCACGUAGUGCAUUACAGAUAAAAUCUGGUACUACCUCAAACAUAAAAAAAUUAUCCAAUAAUUACAUUCCAUGCUUAACUAAAUUAUCAGCAACUUAGUUAGCUUCAUGUAAAACAUGAACCCAAAUAAUGUCUUUGGUGUUGAUGGAUAUUAUAGAUAAUUUGUACCAAACUAUAAUAAGGAUGCGAAAAACAACAUCAUUUAAUCAUCUAGCUUAAUGCUACUUGAGAAUUAGAAUAUAUUUUAGGAUAAAACAUGUUUGUCAUUUUAAUAAAUAUUUGAAUUUUGUAUUUGUUUUUUAUUAAAAACAUUUUUUUUUAUUUUCUGAUAAAAUAAAAUUUUAUUUUUUAUACUUGACAUAUUUUCUUAGUGUUUAAUAAUUAAUAUAUUUUAUGGCAAUUCUUGAUAAUUUUUUUCAUUUGUUAUUGAUCUCUUUGAAAAAAAUUAAUAACAUAUUUUUUUAUUAGUGAGUAAAUAUAAAAUUUGUUAAUUUAUCAUGAAUUAAAAAAAGUAUUAAGGAUUAAAAAUAAAAAUUAUUAUUUUAUUAGAAACUUGAUUAAAAAAAUUUCUUUUAUAGAAAGUAAACACAAAAUUCAAAUUAUUUAUUAGAGAUGAAAAUAUAUUUUAGUUUAUAUUUUAAUACAACGGAAACCUAUUUUUCAGGUUAAUUUCAAACUAUAAAAAAAAAAAUACUCUACAACUAUUUUAUAUUCACGUACUAUCAAAGUUUGGUAUCUAGUAUUUAGUACUCAAAUUAAUGGGUUUGCAUUGUGUAAACUAUUUUAUAUUCACAUUUUAAUAAAAUUUAGCUAUUUUAGUUUUUUUUAAUCAUCAUUAAUUAUAUUUUUAUCACUCAUACUAAAUUAUAAAUUUAACUGAAUUAAAGGUGGUCAUAAUAUCAACACUUAAUUGAUAUUAAAGUCAAAUGUGACAACAAUUUUUAUAACUUCUUCUUUGAAAAGGAGGUGAUCUUCAAUACAAUUACUUUGUUAUGACAUUACUCCAAUCAUUAACCGUGCCUUCAACAUCCUCUAUUGCAAUUCAAGUGUGAUGGGCAGUGUGUACAAGAUUAGAAAACGCAUUCAUCUUUAUAUAUAUAUAUAUAUUUUUUUUUUUUAUUCAUUUACCUUUGUAUGGUUCAUGAAUGAUUACUGGUGAUUUUAAUUUUAUGCAAGUAAUUAGUUACAACCUACUAUAUGAACUAAGGACUAGUUUUUGGAGUUAGUCCAUCCCUGCAAGAUUGCGAUCCUUUGUCCCAAUAUAGCACUACAUAACUUUUAGAACAUAAGUGACAUAAGAUGACUCGAUGUUAUUCGUACUUUUCUUUCCCUUAUCAUUGACCGUUUGCUAAGAUACCAAACUCAAUGUUUGAAGGCACCCUUCUCUUUCAAGAGGGUUUGCUACACAUCAAGUCCUAGCAAGGUUUUACACUUUGCAUUGAAAUAAAUCGUAUGUUCCAAUGCUUGUGUGGGCUUUCAUCAAUUCCUUUGAAUUUCAUUCUUGCAAAUGUAUUCCCAAGCGGGAUAUUUAUUAAUGGUGAAUUUUUUAAUAUUUAAUUUUAUUUAGUCAGCAAGGAAUUACGUUUUUUAGAGAGAAAACAAGGGAUUGCUAUGUACUAAAACUUUCGUGUAAGGAGUAUUGUUAAAAAUUAUAUGUUUUUUUGGUUCUUUCGACAAAGUUAAAAAUUAGAUGUUUGGUUAUUAAAAGUUUGAACACUUGUAUAUUUUUGGUAAAAAAGUUUGAACAGUCUUUUUUCCAACUACUUAAAUGGUUGUUUGCACGAAAAGUUUUUCAAACUUGCUAAUUUUCAGAAACAGCAUUACUUUUAUCACCUUUUCGAGGCUAGGUCAAACAAUUUAAUUUUCAUUCUUAUGUUUUCUUUUAUACUAUCUUCGAUAGACUUUUCCAAAAAAAAUCCAUUACUUUAUAUGCUUAAAAUCAAUCAUAAUUUCCUAUAAGAAAAUCAAUCAUAAAGACUAAUAUUUUAACAAAACCGUAAAAUAAACAGUACCACUGCCUUAUUUUAUAUAUCACUUUAAAAGUUGUAUUUUGUCUCAAAAUUUGUCACUUUAAACAAUCAAGAAAUUAGCAAUUACUCCUAUCUUUUUUCACAGUAUAUUUAUUUAUUAUUAUUUUACUCAAAUAUCAAAUUAAUGUAGAAUUACUUUCUAAAUUUUUUAAUGAGGUUAUUUUAGUUAAACAGGUAGUAGGGCAUACUCCAUUAUUAAUGCAUCAGGUCCAUUUUUUUUUUGGUAAAUAAAAAGGUCUAUUUUUUUUAAUGCAUUAGGUCUAUUUAAGACUUUGCUAAUAUGUUCAUUCUUAUCUUGAUUUCAAAACGUGCGCGCACGUUCAACGAGAAUACUUCUUUAAUUACUACUUGUUAAUAUGUUAAUUACCAGUAUUUACUUUAUGAUGAUACUCCUCUAUUAUUUAUUAUUUUUUAAUCAAUACCUCUUUUAAGCUUGAACAAGAAACUACUUAUUUUCUUUACAAUUAUAUAUCUAUCCAUAGAGCAUUCAAAAUGAGUUUAAACUUGUGGGUCGAUUGGGAUCAUCACGGGUUUUGAGUCGGGCUGGACCAGAUCCAAAAAGCAAAGUCAAACUAAACCAAAUACUAGUGUCUCUAUUUUAUUUUUGUUCCCUUCGUAUUACAAAUGGUUGCUGCCGGCACGCAAGUUCAUACUUUUAAAGAUGAAAGCUACAACUCGUUGAAAUUUGGAGUUACAGUUGAAAAUAGAAAUGUUGGUUAAAAUAUUAAUGAGAAAUAAUUAAAUUGAUAGAAAAAUAAAGAAAAGAUAAUUUUAGAAUAAUAAUAUAAAUAAUUGAUAAAUUUAAUGUGAUUAAUUAAAUUAAUUAUUUUUUAAAAGAAUAUGAAUUAAUAAUCUCCAUAAAAGUUCAGAAUAAGAAUAGUCACCCCUCUAUCGCUAUAGAAAAAGCAUUGCUAUAGCAUUUGUCAUAUUAAAAUCCUUCUUCCUCGUAUUGUAGUAUUUUCUUUUUCUUGUCUCUUCAAAGUGUAGACACUUGUAUACAAGAAGAAGAAGAGUUCUAAGUAUGAACACGUGCAAAAAUCACGACUGAGGUUUUCUAUUUUCAGAAGUCAUCUACCAUUAUUUAAUGCCAAAAAGUUCAGAAUAGUCACUCCUCUAGCAAUAUAUAAAAAACACCAUUGCUAUAAUAGAACUGUUGUCAUCUUAAAAUCCUUCUUCCUCGUAUACUAUAUAUUGUUGUUCUUGCAUUUAAUUAAAGUGUGAUCAGAUCACACAAAUUAAAUGACAUCAAUUACCUCUGCAUCCCUUCCUUUGCUGCAACUCCAAUCUUCAUUGAAGAGAAAACCCUGCAACUUGAAGAGCUCCACCACCAUGCGUCGUUUUACAACCAAAGCCUCAGCCUCUGAAACGACGUCGGCGGCUGCGCCAGCGCCCGAGCCCAGCAAGCUUCCCAUGCGAAAGAUCCCAGGAGAUUACGGUCUCCCUUUCAUAGGACCCAUCAAAGACCGCCUUGACUUCUUCUACAACCAAGGGCGCGACAAGUUCUUCCAAUCCCGCGCCCAAAAAUACAACUCCACCGUGUUCCGCGCCAACAUGCCCCCCGGCCCCUUCAUCGCCUCCAAUCCAAACGUCAUCGUUUUGCUCGACGCCAAAAGCUUCCCUGUCCUUUUCGACGUCAGCAAAGUCGAAAAGCGUGACGUCUUCACCGGCACCUUCAUGCCCUCCACCCAACUCACCGGCGGUUACCGAAUCCUCUCCUACCUGGACCCCUCCGAACCCAGACACGAACAACUCAAGCGCCUCUUGUUCUUCCUCCUCAAAUCCCGAAGCAGCCACGUCAUCCCCGAGUUUCAUUCAAGCUACACAACCCUCUUUGAAACCCUGGAGAAUGAGCUUGCUAAGGAAGGCAAGGCUAGCUUCCAAACCGCCAACGACCAAGCUGCGUUUAACUUCCUCGCUCGCGCGCUUUAUGGCACCAACCCCUCCGACACAAACCUCGGACGCGACGGCCCAAGCAUAAUCCAAACAUGGCUUUUGUUCCAGCUCGGCCCAAUUAUGACCUUGGGCCUUCCAAAAUUCCUGGAAGAUCCCACUCUUCACACCUUCCGCAUCCCUCCUUUUCUGAUAAAAAAAGAUUACAAGAGACUCUACGAUUUCUUCUACGAGUCCUCCGGGUUCGCGCUUGACGAAGCGGUGCGUUUAGGAGUUCCCAGAGAAGAAGCGUGCCACAACCUUUUAUUCGCCACGUGCUUUAAUUCCUUCGGGGGAAUGAAGAUAUUCUUCCCCACUAUUCUGAAAUGGGUUGGGCGUGCGGGGGUGAAACUUCACGCUAGGUUGGCGGAGGAAGUGAGGGCCGCCGUUAAGUCAAACGGCGGGAAGGUGACGAUGGCGUCGAUGGAGGAAAUGCCGUUGAUGAAGUCGGUGGUUUACGAGGCGUUUCGGAUAGAGCCGCCAGUGCCGCUGCAGUACGGGAGGGCGAAGAAGGAGUUGGUGAUUGAGAGCCACGAGAAUGCGUUCGUGGUGAAGGAAGGGGAGAUGCUGUUCGGGUUUCAGCCGUUUGCGACAAAGGAUCCGAAGAUAUUUGAGAAUGCGGAGGAAUUUGUGGCGGAUCGGUUUGUGGGGGAGGGAGAGAAGUUGCUCAAACACGUGCUUUGGUCCAAUGGGCCUGAGACCGAGGGACCCACCCUUGGGAACAAGCAAUGUGCAGGGAAGGAUUUUGUGGUGUUGUUCUCUCGGCUUCUGGUGGUGGAGUUCUUUCUUCAUUAUGAUUCCUUUGAUGUCCAAGUGGGGAAUUCAUCUUUGGGUUCUUCCCUUACCUUCACCUCCCUCAAGAAAGCAAGCUAUUAGAUAUUAUUAACUUUGCAUGAGCUUUCAAUAUUCAUAUUUUUAAACAUUUUGAUUAAUACUUAUGUAUACUAGUUUCUAUCUUUUUAUCAUGUUAUUGUGUUAUUGUACUUGUAAUGUACAUUUGUUUAGAACUGGGUGUUUCUUAUUUGGUACGAGAGAGAAGAGCAUGGAAAAUAGAGAAUAAGACUUUAGCCAUUUACCCAUUUCCAGACUCAUAUUGACCAUACAUGCCGGGGUUCAACUGUUCAACUUGAAAUUAACUUCUUAUAAAAGUUUGGUUUUCUCUCUAAAUUUGUAUUAGUUUUUUUUUUCUGAAUUUAAAAAAAUUACUACCUCUUGUACUUUUUUAUAAGAAGAUCUAAAUUAAAAGUAUGACUUUUUAUAAGGUUAAAUUUAAAAUAUCUUAUGCAUUAAUUAUUUUUUUUAAUAAAAUUAUAGUUAAUUAAAGGUAGUUACAGAAUGAUGUGAUAGAUUAACAAACCAAUUGGUUGAUUUUAUUUACAAAAGUAUUUUUGAAAAAAAAUUAUAUUAAGUUAGAACGGAUCUGAUGUUCUAAACUAAAUUAAUUUUUUAAUUGUAAUAAAUUAAUUAAUUAGAUCUUAUAAUAAAGAGAACGGUAAUAUUUAAUCCUCAUAAUUUAAAAUAGUCUACUUUUGAUCUUUUAAGGUUAUUUUUCUUUAUCAUUUUCAUCCCCGUGAUUAAAAUUAAAAGUGGACUAUUUCUAAAUUAAAAGUUGAAAAUAAUCACGUUUAGGUAAAAAAAAUACUAGGUUCAAAUUUAGUGAAUAUUUAAUCCUACAAAUUUUCUGACUGGUAUUUGUGCAGCUCGUUUCUCCAUGUUUUGUGCAAUUUUUUUUUUCUAAAACAUAUUUAAUAUGAAAAUAUAAAUAAUACUAGUUCCAGUUUUUUUUUUAUAAGAAAUAAAUUUUAAUGUAAAAUGCACCAGAGGUAAUCUGAAAUAUUGAGUUACGUACGGAUUGCAUGAAUCAUAGCUGGGAAGUUUUUAUUGAAGAUAAAAUUUUAAUCAUGAUUCCACCAUGUAUGCCAAUACAUCUGUGAUUGGUUAAAGCAAUUUUUUCUUUCCUUUCGUAUCUGUUUUCUCGUAGCAAAUCGCAAGGUUCAUUUUUUAUUCACUUUGUGCAUGACCUUUCCUCGUCUUGGAUUCUAGUUGUGAAUGGUGUUAAACAUUAACGUGGUUACUUUCAGAUGUCUGAAGAGACAGCAAGCUUUUAGAUAUUUUUAUCGACUUUAUACGUACUUGUAAGUGUAACGUAGCUUUAUCAUUUUGGUUUUAGUUGGGAAUGGCCAAUCAUUCUGGACAUGGUUUCAUUUUCGUUUGACCCAGAUUAUUAGUACAUUACAUCUUUAUGUUUCAAUUAAAUUAUCUUUUAGAAAGAUAUUACGUUCUUAAUUAUUUGGAUGUUAACAAGACGGAGGAGCCAGUGAACAAAGCGUUGCAUGCCCUCCAUCAAUAUUUAUGUGAUAGCCACCAAUCGGCAUGCAUGGAAGGAGGAAGACCGGUUCAUAGCCUGGUCAUACGAUCCGAUGUUGCUCUUUAUGUAUGCAAGUUGCCCGAGUGGCGCUUAGGCUUCGAAGCAGUGUGAAACUCUAGGGUUUUGAUUUGAUAAAGGUUUCGUUGACGUUUUAAACCCGCAAAAUGGGGCAGAGAGAUUCUUACGUACGUAACAAGUUUUAGCAUGUUUAUAUUUAGGGCCACAUUGUGAGUUUUUUAAUUUUUUAUUUUUAAAAUAAAAUGUAUUUCACAAAGAUACUUUUUAUUUUCUCUAUCUCCCACUGUUAUGAACAACAUUAUCAUCAUCACACAAAAAUAUCUUAAAAUACUUUUAAUAGGAUUUGACAUUUUUAAAAUGAGUACUCUAUUUUAAAACUAAAAAUUAAAGUUAAAGUUUAAAAACUAAAAAUUAAUUAUUAUUUUAAUUUUUUAAAAAACUCAAUUAAAAAUCACUUCAAAUGAGGUCUUAAGUUGUUGUAAAAAAUUCUAUUAAAUCGUACGUCCUUCUCAUCUUCCUUUGUAAAAGGAUUUUUCUAUUUUCAACUUAAUAGAAUUUUUUUAUUGACCCAAUUGGAAGUAUGUUAGUUAUAAAUUAAUAUUGCAAACCCUAAAAAGCAGCUAAAUGAGAGAAUUUUUGUCCAAAUUAUGAUAAGGAGUACUCUAAAUGCCAAUUAAUGCUGGAUAUAUUAAAACAAGUAAUAAAUUGAAUAUAUGAGAACAAAAAUGUGCACUAACAUAGCGUGCUUUUCUUUUAAAGACACUAACACAUUGUUUAGUACUGUAAGACAGAUUUACAUUAUUAGAGAUAAUAAUAAAUUAUGAACAGUGAUUUGUGAUUAGUUACUAAUAUAAAACUUUUUUAUAUUAUGCUAUUAAACUCAUUUAAUAUUAUUUAACUCUAAAAUUCAAGUUAUUAUAAAAAAGUAUUUAAUCGUGCAUACUUAUCGACGUGGAUUUUUGACAAAAAAAACGACGUGAAUUUUAAGAUAUAUAACUCUCACAAAAAGACAAACCCGGAGGUUUGCGUGACUAGCUAGUCCCAGCAUUUAGAUUGGAUAAAAUCAUAUACCUUACUUUUGUAGGAUGCACACAUAUUCUCCCUCAAGCUUAAGGUUAAAUAUCUGAAGAAACAUGAAAAAUGAUAGUGAGGAUCACCCAUUUUACCUGGGUGUACAAGUGACAAUAGCGGAUUGAUGGUGAUGAUCAUACUUGGAGCUUUUUUCUUUGAUUUUCCAAUGGUUUUGGAGUGAGCUUUUUGUGCUUGAAUGGUGGAGUGGAAGUGACUCUAUGUAUGAUAAUAAACUUUCUGAAUUAUAAGAUGUCUGAAAAAUAUUAGGUGCAGUACUAGCUAGUUGAAGGGAAGACCACAAUCCGAUUCAAAAGUUGAAAGUAUAAUUGUUAGGAUGGCCUUCUCAUUUUAACACGAAUGAAAGAUUGUUCUCAUAAUAAAAUUUUGUAAAUCUCUUAUAUAUUUUAAAACUCCAAGCAUAAUAUUUCGUGAAUAAAUAGUUGAGGAGUGUUAAUAAUACACCUCUUUAAAUACAUUCUCUCUAAUUAUUAAAAUGUAUUGAAAAUUAUAAAAUUAGGAGAGUAUAAACAAUGACUAAAGAUAAACAAUAUUUAAAGUAAACAUAUGUUUAUCAUUAAGAUAAAAGCAAUUUCUUCUACUCUUUUUUUUAAAAAAAAUAUUUUCUUCUCAAAAUUUACUUUUACAAUAUUAAUUUUUUCAAAAAACUAAUAUCUUUAACAAAAUUUAAAGAAACUUUACAUCCCAAGCAGGAGGAUCGGAGCAACAUAAUAAUAGUCAAUGUUAGCCAGUACGUUUGGUUAACUUCUGGUACUAUGUUUAGCCCAUCUUCAUCACUACGUCUCCAUUUACUAUUAGUCUUUAAUUUUCAUCAAAUACGAAAUCAUCUGUAUUCAAAGAAGUAGGAUCAUCUAUAAUGGGGGAACUGUUCUAGACUUCUAGUGAAUGAAGUUAGUCACUUAUAAAGUGAAAGAAGAUAUUUAUACUUAUUGUCGAAUAAUAUCUGAAACAUGAUUUUUUUUUCAAGGAAAAGCAUUAUUAUUUUUAAAGAAAGAUACUUGUGACUUGUGAGAGAGAGAAAAUAUAUAAGUGGGGAAUGGAAAAUUGCAGCCGUUAAUUGAACUUUUUCUUUUCCGAUCAUUGAACGGUUUUUAUAUAUUUUUUGUUACAUGACCGGUUUAUAUUUAUUAACUUAUACGUAUAAUUUUUAUUUUAUCAAAGGCUAAACCAUUGGUCACGAUUGAGAUCCCCAGCCAAGGGAUUUUAAUCCGUCAUUCGAUGUACAAUUCAAUUCGAAAACCACGAACAGGAAAAACCUACCUUCUCAAAUUCGUUAACUGCAUAAAGCUUAUUGAACAGGAGUGUGAGUGGGACACAACUUUACACGAUAUGUUGCGCAUUGUCUUCCACUCAUUGGUGUAAUUAGUAGAUCCAAGAGUGUAAAAAAUGGAAAGAGAUGAUGAAGAUAAUUUGGUUAUUUUUUCAUUCAGAAUCAUAGAGACAAUAUAUACACAAAUACAUAUCUCUAAUUAGAUGAUUCUGCUUUUAUAACUCAGCGAUCUAUUCCUACAAUCAAGUCAUUCUAAUAUGACUAACUAUUAUCAUAUUUAAAACAAGAAUCAUGAGAUACAAUUAACUCUCAUAAUAAUAAGAAUCAUAAGAUAUUGACUUUUUUAACACUCCCUCCCAAGUUGGAGAGUGGAUAUCAAGAACUCCCAACUUACGCUUCAUUGUAAGAAAGGAUUCCUUCCCUAGUGGUUUAGUGAACACAUUGACAACUUGUUCUGUUUAAGAAACAUACUCGGUUGCAACUAAACCAUCUUGAAUUUUAUCACGAAUAAAAUGACAAUUUAUCUCUAUAUGUUGAGUUCUUUCAUGAAAUACCGGAUUAGACGCAAUGUGAAGAGCUGCUUUGUUGUCACAAUACAACAGUGCUGCCCUUGAGUGCAAUAUCCCAAAAUCCUUCAACAAUGAACGUAGCCAAGACAACUCACAACAUGCGCCUUUCAUAGCUCUAUAUUUUGCUUCAGCUAAUGAUAAAGAAACUGUCUUUUGUCUUUUUGUUCGCCAAGAAAUUAGAGAGGAUCCCAAAAAAACACAAUACCUAGUAGUUGAUUUUUUGGAUAUUGGACAACCUUCCCAAUUUGAAUCACAAAAAGCACGUAAAGAUAAAUCAUUUUUGGAAGAGAAAAAUAAACCUUGACCUGGAUUGUUCUUUAGAUAUCGCAAUAUUUGCAUAACGGCUUCCAUAUGAGGUUUGCGAGGAGCAUGCAUGAAUCUACUCAAUAUGUGCACUGAGUAGGUGAUAUCCAGAUGAGUAACAGUCAAAUAAAUUAGGUGACCUACAAGUUGCCUAUAUGGGGAUGGAUCUUUCAACAAUUCUCCUUCAUGUGACAAUUUUACAUUUUGCUCCAUGGAAAAAUUCACAGGCUUAGCUCCCAAACAUUCUCCAUCUUUUAGAAUUUCCAAAGCAUGCAUAUUUUCUUUGCGAAAUGAAUAUACCUUUCUUUGACCGAGAACCUCCAUUCCCAAAAGAUACUUCAAGUCACCCAAAUCUUUAAUCUGGAAUUGAUUAUGCAAAAACUUUUUAAGAGCAAUUAUGGCAUUGGGAUCAUUACUAGUUAUGAGGAUGUCAUCAACAUAGAUCAAUAAGGCAGUAAAUAAUUUGCCUUUAUUACAUGUAAACAAUGAAUAAUCUGCUUUUGAUUGAAUAAAUUCAGCACCUUGAAUAGCUGUAGAGAACUUGGCAAACCAUUGGCGAGAGGCUUGUUUUAAUCCAUAUAAGGAUUUAUUGAGGUGACACACAAGGUUCUCCCCCUGUCGCUGAAAACUAGGAGGAAGAGACAUAUAAAGUUCUUCAGAAAGAUCUCCGUGAAGAAAUGCAUUGUGGACAUCAAGUUGAUGAAGUGACCAAUUUUGAGCAGCUACCAAAGCUAAUAAACAACGUAUUGUAACCAUUUUAGCAGUAGGUGAAAAAGUGCCAUGGUAAUCAAUCCCUUCAAGUUGUGUGUAACCUUUUGUUACUAACCAUGCUUUAUAGCAUUCAAGAGAACCAUCUUAUAUGCACUUGAUUUUGUAGACCCAACUACAACCAAUAGCUUGCUUUCCAGGAGGGAGAUGUGUGAGAAACCAAGUAUUAUUGGCCUUUAAAGCAGCCAACUCAGAUUGCAUUGCUAUUUGCCAAUGAGAUUGGGAAGCAACUUGUUCAUAACAUGUAGGUUCAACAUCAUUAGUAAUAGUAGCAAUAAAGGAUCUAUGUUGUGGUGAGUAACAAUCAUAUGAGAUAAAAUUGCAGAGAGGAUAUCAUGUACCUUUACUUGGAAAAGAUGAUGAGAAUGACAAUGAUUCGGGAGAACUUACUUGAUUACAAACAUAAUCAUUCAAGGCUAUAGGGGGGACAUGAGCUCUUUGAGAACGACGCAAAAGGAUUGUUGGAGAAGCAAUAGUGGCAAGGUUAGAUUCUGCAUGUGUUGGCUGGAUGGGUGAGGAAUCUAAGACAACAAUGGGUAGGACAGAAUCUGUUUUAGUUGGGGAAGGAAAAAUGGAUUCGCAGGAAAUAAUAUCCUCGUGGAAAAUAACAUCACGACUAGUGAAGACUUUAUUGGUUUCAAUAUCAUAUAAUUUGUAAGCUUUCUGACCAAUUGGAUAACCAAUAAAAACACAUUUGGUGGCACGAGGAGCAAACUUAUGGGGUACAUGAACAUUUGUAGCAUAAGCUAGACAUCCGAAAACUCUAAGGUGGGAAUAAGAGGGAAUUUUUUUAUAAAAUUUUUCGAAAGGAGUUUGGUGAGAAGGUAUAGGUGUGGACAACCUAUUAAUUAUAUGAACAACAACAGAGAUACAUUCUGCCUAAAAGUGUAAAGGGAGAUGAGAUUGAAAACUAAAAGCUCGAGUUGACUCAAGGAUAUGUUUAUGUUUGCGCUCAACCACCCUAUUUUGAUGAGGUGAGUAAAUGCAAGAAUGUUGAUAAUUAGUGCCCUAUUGGGGAAAAAAAUCUCGCAUAGAGAAAAACUCUCCUCCAUUGUCAACUCGAAUAUUUGUUAUUGUAGUAUUGAAUUUGGUUUUCUCAUAUGAGAAAAAAUUGGUUAGAAAUUUUUGUCUCACUUUUAUGAUGCAUUAGAAAAACCCAAGUAAAACGAGAAAAGUCGUCCAUAAUAGUCAAAAAAUAUUUUGCACCAGAAAGGGGAGGAACUUUGAAAGGCCCCCAAAUAUCACAAUGUAUUAAUUCAAAAGGUUUAUCAGAGGAAAUGGAACUUGUGGAAAAAGGAAGCCUAAUUUGUUUUGCAAGAGCACAAACAGUACAAUCAUUAUUUUGCUUGAAAGGGAAAUGAAGGAGGUUUUUGGCCAUAAAGUCUAAUUGAGAAGAGGAUAAGUGUCUUAGACGUUUAUGUCACAAUAUACUUGAGGUGUUUGAAGUGGAGGCAGCUUUGAUGGUAUUUACUUUGUGUGUCUUAUUCAUCGAAACCAAGUAAUAGAGUCCAUCUAGUUGUUCACCU
rnacentral:lncRNA from 1 species